GAGUCCAAACUUUAAAUGCGGUAGUUCCAUCCUAUACGAAUAACGUACCGUCACAUAUACGAAAAAAAAUGUUCAUCGUAGCACAAUAUAAUAUGUAUAACAAAGACAAGAUAUUAAUAAUGAUGCAAGUAGUAAAUUUCUAAACAUAUUUCUUUUAUUUGGAUUCAGGUAUGGAGCAACGACAGAAUAAAAGCUUGCCAACAUCGAGUAAAACAUCGCGGAGACAAGACAAGAUACUCUCUCGGUCUGUUUACAUUCAACAAUGGAGUCAUACAAGUACCAAAAGAACUAGUGGACGAUGAGCACCCGCUGCUCUAUAACCCAUGUGACAGUCGUGGCUAUACACGAUUUCAUGCUUCAGCAGAGUCCAAGAAGGCAGCUUCUCGUAUCAAAGCUUACUGCGGCAUCCAAGUUGAAAACUAAAAUUUACGGUUGUCGUCGAGAUAUAAAAUCGUGUAACAAAUAACUUGCCCUAUUCGCUAUAUAUGCGCAUUCUAAAGAUUUUUAUUUUAGUUUUGAAUCUAAAAUAAAGAUGUGUUUGUUUGUUGAUUUUGAUACGAAUGAAAGAGAGAUUUUUUUCUUUUGAUAUGGACACUGUGUUCUCAUGCAUAAGGAUGACGUUGGGAACAAAGGCUAAAGACGCUAUGUGCUUGGUUAUGAAUAUUUUCAGUUUCCAAAAAAAAAAAAAGCUUAAUAGUAUCGAGUUUCGUGCGUGAAGUCUUUUUUGUCUCAGAGUCAUACCUAAAGUGUUAAUUUUAGGACAGUCACAUACAUCGUUAAGUUUUCCAUUAGAACUUCUGUUAACUGGUGAUAUAACAGGACAAUUACUGGACACCAUGUGUCAGCCCACUUUAAUAUUAAAAAAAAUAAUUUAAAAUUUUUUUAAAUUUAUAAAAAACAAACAGUCGUCUCCUCCAUCCCCUGCACCCUCUCAUCCCUACCUUCUCUCUUCUGCAACCCGCACCCCUUCCCUCCCUUCUCUCUUCUGCACCUGCACCACCAUCCCUUCUCUCCUCUGCAACCCGUACCCACCCUCCCCGCACACUCAACUCAACAAAAUCCCACCAAAGGAAUUCCAAUUCAACAAGAAUUUGGUAUUUUCAAGUAUGGAUCUUCUAACCCAGAAAAUGCAAUCGAAGCAAGUGGAGGAGACCCAAAUCCUCCCAAUUUCCCAGAAAACUAUAAAGUUAAAAGAAAAAAAAAUUCAGAUCAACUAAUAUUGGGUUUCUUUUGUGAACCCAGAAAAUUUGGGGUCUCUUUCGAAGUGAAAGAAAACGGAAAUAGAAAAGGAAAAUCAUAAGGAAAAAGGAAGAAGAGGGGAGGAAGAAGAAGAGACGGGAGACUAGAGAAAAGGCCAGCGCCGCUGCAUCAAUGGCAGAUUUUGAAGCUGCUUCAGCAGCUGAUGCUGAGUCUACAAACUGCAUAUGUCCUCCUUCACACCACAGCAUGCGAUUCGCAUCACAGGAGGGACGUACAUCAACAGCCGCAGAGGGACGUAAAUCGAAGGCCUUGGCGUACUCAGUGGCGAUGAGGGAAGGUUAAGAGGCGAUGAUAGCCGCCAAGGAAGCCUCCACGGCAGCAACACGAGACUCCAAGGUAGAGUCGCAAGUAGCAGCGGAUCGACCGGCGUGCACAGAAAGGAAUCCAGGAAUCGAUAUAGGUGAUACCAUUGUUAGAACUCAAAUCUCAAACCCUAACUCAACCUUAACUAAUGCACAUAGAAGAGAGGGAAGGAGGAAGAUAGAAGGAGCAGAGCUCCAAUAUUUUUUUUGUAUUGAUUUCUUGGUGUAAAUUUUGAUUUGGUAGGAGGGCUUGGUGGGUUCUUGCAAAGGAGAGAAGGGUGGGAGAAGAACGGACGGAGCGAGGGAGAAGAGGGUGCGGGGAUGUGGGAGGAGACGGCUGUUUGUUUUUUUGUUUUAUUGUUUUAAGUUUUUUAAUUUUUAAAAUUUAAAUUUAUUUAAUUAUUUUUUUAAUAUUAAAGUGGGCUUAUAUUGUUUUUCUGUUUUAUUGUUUUAAAUUUUUAAAUUUUUAAAAUUUAAAAUUAUUUAAUUAUUUUUUUAAUAUUAAAGUGGGCUUAUAUUGACACGUGUGGCUUCCACUAAUUAUUCACGUGGACACUACGUCAUCAGUUAACAGAAAUUCUAACAGACAACUUAACGGAUAUAUAAGACUGUUCCAAAAUUAACAUUUUAGGUAUGACUUUGGGACAAAAAAGAUUUCAUGUACUCAAUGUUGAAAACCACAAAACUUAAGAGUAAUAAACAAAGAUUAACCCAAAAAAAAAUAUGACGUUGGGAGGUUACCAAGGAAGAAGUAACUGUCCACACCAACGUCAUCAGUUUGUUCUCAUGCAAAAAGAUGACGUUGGGAGGUUAAGAAGGAAGAAGCUGUCCUCGCCAACAUCAUCUUCGCAUGAGAAGAUGCUACCUUUGGUAGGCUUUUGUUCAUCCGUUUGAAAAGUGGCAGGAACAUGGACUAGAGAGGAGAAUAUUUGAAAUAAUAACUCUGUAAGUGGAAGACUUCCAUGAAACAAAUUCACCAUCAUUGUAGAGUUACAUUUCAAUACCUACCUACAGUAUCAUGUGUAAGUUUCUCUUCAAAUAACAUUGCCCCACGGGGGAAUGAAACCAUGUUUCAUGCAAAUUGCUCUCAACUGACAAAACACUAUUUUUUGUGCCGGUGAUCCAAUAGCAAGAGGCAUCAGCAAGUACGAAUCCCUAUUUGAAACCGUAGCACAAAGCAUUUGAUUAUGGAAUCAAAACAUAACCCUAACUAAUCAUUCAUCACUAUCGUCACUGUCAUAUUGGCACAAUGAUUGUAAAACAUUGGUUGUAGCAUUGGUUUUGCUCUUAUCUGGUUUUGUCGAAUUUUGAACCUCCUCUCCCGAUUGUUUCUUCUUGUCUUCUGCUUCCGCUGACUUUUUGCCUUCAACCGCAACUGGUUUCUUAACUAUAGCAACCCUAACAGUGGAGGACUUAAAAGGGAAUUUAGCAGCUUCUGAGCCAUUUCGAUUCCCUGUCAAUAGAAAAAUAACAAAAAAGCUCAAUAAUUUCAUAUGGAGAGAAUCCAGAAAGAAACAAAUGAUUGAUUCAGGGGCGAGAACAAUCUGCAUGUGUUGUCUGAACUACCUCUAUCAGAAAUACUGCUGUUUGUCAACCAAUCUGUUGAAUUGGUAGGAAGCCCGUGAGUAAGCUUUUUCCGCUGCAUGGAAAAUAUGUGCAAACAAACAUUAUAAGCUUACCAUUGUCAGUUACACAACAUGCAGAUAAUAGUUGCAACAUAAAAUGUGUUGAUUGUUAUUUAAGCAAGUUGAGGGUCUAUAGACCACACAACAAGGAAUUUAUUCAUUUCCCUCCACAGGAUGCCUGACAUAUAGAAACCAGAAUCAAUUUUCAAUUGCAAAUGCAGACGCUACAAAAAUUUUCCCCUAGACACAAUUGCAGAAUAGCACAGGGUUGGAAAGAGACGAGUGGAUGGAUGAAGCAUAAAGCUGAGUUAUUUUGAUUAUCGUAUUUGCAAGAAUCAUCAUGCAAUUUCUAGAUGAGUAUAUAAGAACACAGGAUAAACACCAAUAACAAAAACCGCACACUUGUUAUACACCAUACCAGGAUGAGGAUAAAAACCAAAUAAAGUAGAGCUGGAUCUAGAACCAAAAGUCCAACAUACUAUGUAUUCUUUGAUAAGAUGCCAACAUGUAUAUAUCAAACAACUAAUAUGGCGUACCUUCGGUGAGGUUUCACCGUUGCCACUUAAAGGCUCAAUCAUAUCUUCUUCAUCAUCUAAAUCUUCAUCGUGAAUUCUUUUAAUAUAGUCUUUUGAGUUCUGCAAAAAUUUUUUCAGUUGUAUUAGAAACAAACAGCCCUCAAGAAAGAAAAGUAAAAAUAAAAGCAAAAAAAUGACCCCAAGGAGAAUUAAGUUGGACAUAAAACAAAGUAGUGCAUAAAUACUAACAUGGAAUACUAUUGAUUUUAUGACUGCUUCAUCCUCCUCUUCAAUCCUUUUUUCCUGUGAAAAACAUCAAUCUUUGGUAAACUCACUAAUAAUAAAACUGCAACUACACAAGUAGCAGAGCAAGUUCAAGAUAAAAAUGAAUGCACAAACAAUUACCAUUUUGUUUGAAAGUACAAGUAUAUGUAAAUGAUAAAACUCUUCAAUCCUUUACAUUCACCUUCCAAGGUAAUGUAUCACGUUUCAAUAAACUAAACACAUAAGGUUUUUGGUUUACCCAUGGUUCAGGACACGAAGAUAAUUUGACUCACUUCCAACAUAUUAAAUAAGUUGGCACAAGAAGCCUAUCAAAUUUCUUUGGUUAUAUAAUUAUUGUACCCUGAAUUACUUGAUGUUAUAACAAAUUCAUGGAAACCACAACAUCAGAGCUGCAAGUAUUGCACACUUAAGGAACCAUGCUCCUACAUGUUUCUGCAUUACAACAACUAAACAAAUCCACAAGCGUAUAGCACACAACAUAUGACACUGGACAGGGAACAAUACCAUAUAUACAUGCAUGUGUAUUUAUUGGUUUAAAGUUUAAAUUGGUCUAUAUAUGAACUGCUUAUAAAUCGUACCUUUUGCACGGAUGUUUGUUUCAAAGCCUCCAACAUAGCAUCCACACUCACAGUCGCAUGCCUGGACUGAAAACCAUAAGCCUUGAAUUAGUAUCAGAGGAUAUUGACAUGCAGCUGACACAAAGGAAUUGAAUAAAUGCAUAACAUAUUAUUCAUAUACGUACUGACAGAAACAGAAAAGUCGUGCAUUACAAUUUAAUGGCAGAACUGCAUGAUUACAUCAUGCCCAUCCAUCGAUCAAAUUACAAAAGAAUAAAAUUUGACGACUUAUCACUAGACAAACAACUACUGAGACAUCUACCUUCAUGGACUUCAUCUCAUCCAAGGCAGCCAUGACGUCCAUCUCUCUUUUUGAAUCCUGUGUUCUAUUCUCCAAGGCUCUCAUAGCAUCUCCCAUUUCUUCGGACUCCCUUUUCUGUUUCUCCUUAUCUACUUCCUGAAAAGAAAAAACAAAUACACAAAACAAGCGGUUAAGCAAUGUUCAUCACAGCAUAAGAGAACCUGAAAACAUGAAAGAACGGUAAGUGGAAAGUCAUCAUUUUUGUUUCUGUUUUACCUCAUCUUCAUUGCGCCAGGGUUCAAAAUUACGUGUCGCACCAGCCUCAACAACAUAGUCAGAAUUCUGUGGGUCUGUCUUCAUCGCGAGCUCGGCAGAGCACUUGGUACAUUUGAAGUAAAAUCUGAAUAUUUGAAUUCCCAAAUACGUCUGCAAAUGAUAAAACCAUCAAUAACCCAGUUCACGCAACACAACAAAAACCCUAUUAAACCUAUAAAAAAAAUCAAUCAAUCAAUCAAACACCAAUUCCCUCAUUCUCCUAAAAAAAAUUUAAAAAAAAUUUAAAAAAAACCUAGAAUUCAAAUCAAAGCGAAUCAGGCUAUGCAAUUAAAAAUCCUGGUGAUUAAAGAACGACCCACGAACCUCUCCAACGACAUCUUCUUUGCGAGAAUUAAAUUUGGUGCCUUUGUAGAUGUAAUUGCCGCAGGUGUUGCAGCGAAUGCUCAUCGGAAGCAUCAUCCGCACCUUUAUCUGUUGAUUCUUUGGCCUCCUGAUCCUGGGCAGCUUCGAGGGGUCGAAGUCCGGCGGAUAGUACUUGUUCAGAACCUUACGUUCUCCCAUCUUUGAUGCUCUUCGAAAACCCUAAAUCUCCUUGAUUCAACUCGAAUUGCUUCUCUUCUGAUCAAAAUUUCACAGGAAUUCAGUCGUCAAAAUUUCUCAUUUCCCUAACUUAAUCGAUACAUUUAUGUAUAUAUCGGCGAAAGCCGAAACAAAGAAGAAUUAAUGUGAAAUUAGGAGGAGAGGAGGGAGUGGAAGAUGAUACCUGUUGAGCGUUGAGUGCGCGAGUCACUUGGGAUUGUUAGGGAUUUUGGAGGGAAAAGAACUCAAGAAGAGAAAACCCAAGGGCGGGAUUUGUCCGUGCCGCCACCGUCAGGUUUUUCUUCCAUUUAUCCAUUAAGUAUCACGAGCCAAACACGUGACUCACGUAUGGGGGCAAAAUGGCCCUGUCAAGUGUUUUUUAAUUAAUUACAAGCAUUUUUAUAAGAAAAAAAAUUUUAAUCAGUUUUUAAUAAAAAAUGCAAGUUAACUUUAGAAAAAAAAAAACACUAAAAGUGCUUUUGAAAUUUUUUUUUUUUAUAAAUAUUUUCAGAUAUUUAAAAGCACUUUUUUACGCAAGUCUUGAGACAAUUAGAGCAAUUCCACCCCUAAGGACUUUGCGCCAACACCCAGCGCAUUUAUCCACUCAAAUGAACAGUAACAGACUCCAAUGAACAGUAAUAGGCCAAGGCACCUCUAAAAAAAUGCGCUGGCACCUAGUGAAAAAAUGCGUUGGCACAAACGAUCUCCAUCCCUACAAAAUACGAUGGCACCCAGCCCAUUUAAAAUAUUUUUAAAUUUUGUCUAAAAGAAUAAAAAAAUAAAAUAGUUUUAAUUUCGGAUAGGAUUUUUAACCAAUCUCGUCACGUCACAUGUCAUUAUCUGAACGUACUAUUUUGUGAAUAGAUUUCCGCUAAGAUUUUCAACCAAUCCCGACACGCCACGUGUCACUUCCGUUUUACAAUAAUUUAGCCAAGAUUUCGAUAAGAUUUUCAACCAAUCACGUCAUGUCACGUGUCAUUAUCUGAACGUACUAUUUUGUGGAUAGAUUUCCGAUAAUAUUUUCGACCAAUCCCGACACGCCACGUGUCACUUCCGGUUUACAAUAAUUUAGCCAAGAUUUCAAUAAGAUUUUCAACCAAUCACGUAGUGCCACGUGGCAUUGGCCAGAACCUCAUCCUUUCUUUUUUUUGUCCAUAUAAACCCUACAUCCCUACAUCCAUCCUCACACCAAGCUCAAUCCUUCUUUUUAGCUCAGAAUCCUUGUUCAUCGUUUUCAAAUCAUGAGUUCUUAUUACAAUGUCUUCUUCAAGAAGGGUGUAUAAACAGUUGCAGGAGCAACAACAAAGGUUGUUGGCACAACAGGCAGAAUUGGCCAAUCUCGAGGAAGGUGGAGGUGGAGGUGGAGAUGAGGCUUUCUUCAUGGAGGAGGAUGAGGAUGAUUACCAUAGAAGGCAGAAGGCCUCACAUUCCCGCCGUGUCAUGGAAGCCGUGGGCCAGAUAGCCAAACCAAGACGUGUUGCAAACCUCGAUAGAAAAAUGGAAAAACAAGGUAAAAAUCUAUUGGAAGAUUAUUUUAUUCCCAAUAGCAUAUUCCCUGAUCAUAUUUUUAGACGGUGUUUUAGAAUGCAACGAAAGUUGUUCAACAAAAUCAUGAGUGAUAUUUGCAACCAUGAUUCAUACUUUGUGCAAAAAGAGGAUGCUUUUCAUGUUCUAGGUCUUAUUCCCAAGCAAAAAAUUACGGCAUCCUUGCGAAUGCUUGCAUAUGGAGCAUCUGCAGAUCAAGUGGAUGAGAUCACGAGGAUGGGAAAAACAACUGUUUUGGAGUCCCUGAUGCGGUUUUGCUCUGCAAUUGAAGCCCUCUACACCAAUGAGUACCUCCGGACACCCACGCCAAGGGACAUGCGAAGGCUUCUGAGGAAGGGUGAGAUGCGAGGCUUCCCUGGCAUGAUUGGAAGCAUUGACUGCAUGCACUGGACUUGGAAAAACUGUCCAAGUGCGUGGCAAGAAGCAUAUGGCAACAGAAAAUGAGCCAAAAGCAUCAUUUUGGAAGCGGUGGUUUCAUUUGAUACAUGGAUUUGGCAUGCUUUUUUUGGUGUUCUAGGAGCUCAGAAUGACCUAAAUGUCCUUGCCCAAUCCCCAGUGUUCGACGAACUGCUGCAAGGAAACUCGUCGAGAUGCACAUAUUGGGUUAAUGGUACCCAAUACGAGGGAUCAUACUACCUUGCAGAUGGCAUUUACCCAAGGUGGUCAACAUUUGUCAAAACAGUGCCACAUCCAUUGACUGAAAAGGGAAAACACUUUGCAAAAUGUCAAGAAGGGUGUAGGAAGGAUGUCGAGCAUUGUUUUGGUAUCCUGCAAGCUCGUUGGGUGAUUAUCAGGGCUGCAACUAGAAUGUUUGAUGUCGAGGCUUUUCGAUCCAUCAUGAUGACGUGUAUUAUUCUCCACAACAUGAUUGUUGAAGAUGAGUAUGAUUAUGAUGUCGUCGAUGAAUAUGAGCCGGAUCCGAUGAACAACUCAAGAACACGUAUCUAUUGUGCUCAUGAUGGGACCGAAGAUCCAGUGCAACACGAGCCGUUGGAACGCGAUGGACGUUACAAUGAAUUGAUCGUUCAGCGGUACACUAAUGUGCAAGAGCCAUACUGGCACGUAACCUGCCAGAAUGACUUGAUUGAGCACCAGUGGGGAUUGCAUGAAGGCGAAGAUAAUUAGAAUGAGGCUUGUGGUUGAAGAAUAAAUUGUAUUUUUUUUUUAAGUUUAUGUAAUUCUAUGUAGUGUGUUUUGUUUUUAAGUUUAUUUGGUGAGUUUAUGUAAUUCUAUUUAUUUGGUGAGUUUAUGUAAUUCUAUGUAGUGUGUUUUGUUUUUAAGUUUAUUUAGUGAGUUUAUGUAAUUCUAUUUAUUUGGUGAGUUUAUGUAAUUCUAUGUAGUAUGUUUUGUUUUUAAGUUUAUUUGUAGUAUGUUUUGUUUUUAAGUUUAUUUGGUGAGUUUAUGUAAUUCUAUUUAUUUGGUGAGUUUAUGUAAUUCUAUGUAGUGUGUUUUGUUUUUAAAUUUAUUUGGUGAGUUUACAUAAUCUUAUUUCAUAUGAAAAAAUAUUGAAAUGUGGUGUAAAGGUGGAAGAUGAGAGUUAGGUAUUUAUAGGAAAAAAUUUAACAUUUUUCAAAAUUUUCUGUAUUUUUUAAUAAUUUUUCUGUAUUUUGUUAAUAAUUUUUAAUGAAUUUUAAUAUAGUUAAUUAAUCUGGACUGUUGGAUUUGAAAAAUAUUCAAAUCCAAGAGACAGGGAGUUGCCACGUGGCCAACAGUCAUAUUUCUAACCGUUGGGCCUUUUUUUUUUUUUUUUUUUUGUGAAAAAAACGUGGACCGUUGAUCUUUGAUUCGACGGUCUAUUUUAAAAGUAAAAUUUAAAUUUUUUUUACCGUUGGAAAUCCAACGGUCUAGAAAACUAGCCGUUGGAAAUCCAACGGCAAAAAGGGAGCCACGUCACCAACUCGGGGGGGGGGGAACUGAGUGCGCUUGCACGCGGGCCCGCGCUCUGAAAUCCUGUCGGGCACUCGCGCCAACGCCUCCAUGAAGCGCACGCGCCAGGCAAACUGCCCAGCUUCUUGCUCAGUCUCUUUUGGGCUGGUCCAGAGCCCAGCUCGGGCUGGGUACCAGUCAAGUUGAGGGGGUGGACUUGGUUGACAGGAUGCUGGCCUUGUUUUUGUGCUGGGUCCUGGGCAAAGUCCACCGGGGUGGAAUUGCUCUUAUGGAACUCUUGAACUGGCCUAAAGCUCAAUUAAGUACUGCCUUACCGUUGGUGUUGUCUCGGACUAAGAAGCUAGACUGUAAUUUUAAGAAACCGUCCCAAAUAUUAAAAAAAAAAACUAAUAAUUUUAAAAACUUAAUCAUUACAUUUUUCAAUUGAGUGUCAGUUUUAAUCUCAGAUUGGGGUCUCAACUUCAAUUUUCAACUCAAAUAUUUCAACGAGUACAUGAAAACUCAUGGAUAAAAAUAAGGAAAACUAAUGAAAAUGACUUGAAAACUUUGAGUUUUAAUGAUAAAGACAAAAUAAAGGGUAAAGUGAAUAGUAACAUGAUUGACUUUUUAGUGUAAAAAUGUGGUUUUUCGUUAAAGUGAACAGUACCGGAUGCUUUUCGUUAAAAUUCCAAUAAAAAUAUGAUACAUGAUUACUAGAAGCUGUGUAAUAAAUUAAUAAUCAAAAAAUAAAAAUAAAAAUAAUAUGCUUGUACAAAAACUGCCCGGCGGGUAAACUCCUCCGAUUCAAAAUUGCUUCAACUCCGAAGGCACGCCCUUGCAUUUUCCCGCAUUAGGAGAUGUACUACUCCGUUGGCGCCCAACUCCAUCAACAGCCUGCAGCAGAACCCUGGUUUGCCUGAAACAAGCCACACGUUACGAAAAGACAUAACAAAGAGAAAACAUAAGGAUACCAAGAUUAAGAGGAGAAACAGAACGGCGCAGCAUAUACAAGCAUCCUACCGAGCAAUAAACUAGUCAUCCUCCAUAGGCACCUCUGGAAUGUCAAACCAAUCCUCUUCGAAAGGUUUAUUGAUCACACCAACUGGAGAAGGUAUGCGAAGUCAAGGGGAACACAGAAUACUUUCCCUGUUUCAAUAUAUGCUUGGAACUCAAUGCUAAUUGCUAAAUAUUGCAAGAUCGCAUGCCAUUAGCAGCUUACAGUUCACGUUUUCAGAUGCAAUACAGAAAGGAAAAAAAAUUAACUAUUGCAAAACAAAUAGUACAGAUAAAAAAGGAUAUCAAUUGACAUGAGAUCAUCCUCUUUCUCACCACGAUUGCGGCUAUUUUCUAGUUCCCUUCUUAUUUCAGGGGUUACCUACAAUUGAAUCGCCAAAUACAGAUUACAUAUUGCCAUGGAGUUAUAGCCACAAAGUUAUAGAAAUGAAAUGCCUCAAGAGAAAAUGCUCCUACCAAAUAGUGUUUUUGCGUUUCAAGAAGAUUUCUGAGAUUAUCUUUAUCCUCCUUUUGCAAUUCAUUUUUGUACCUGCAAGGGAUUACACCAGCUGUAUAUGAGGAAAAAGACGAUCCAAUUACGCUAACUAUCAUCAAUAUGCAGUCUAAUCAUCAUUCAGGCACAGAAGAGAUUAUUAAAACUUUGCCCACCUUUGCACAAAUGUAAGAAGUGACUGGUGCCAUAUCACAGGCAUUACUCUUGUUUCCUCCAUAAAUCUCAUAAAAUGUGCAACAAGAGCGUCGAGUACGCGAUAUGGCAAGGCAUACUUUUUAUCCAAAAGAAGCUUUAUAAAAUAACUGCAACAAUUCAUAAAAACAGCAUUGUCAAAACAAUGUCGCAUGCAAGGACCUUCUCCUUUAUAUUAACAAGAAGAGUGCUUCCAAACUGACCAACCAUCAACUAUCUAAAUUCAUUAUAGUGGAUAAAUGUCACGAAAGGAAACUGAUAGAAAUUGUGCUUCAUACAGGGAGGUUUAUUGAAUCAGAUCUUCUACAUUUUUCUACUGCUCGGAACGUUAGGCCUCCCCACCAUACAUUUCACCAUAUAAAAAUCGUUUUGGCUUGAACGUCUUUCAAGUUAACAAAUAUCUUAAACCUUUUUUUCAAACUUUUACAGGCACAAAUGCACCUAUCUUGCAACCACAUACUCUAAGAGAAGAUAUGUCUUUAUUUCUUUCAAACCAUUUUGGAAAUACUAACUGUUACAUGGUUCAAUACCUCGUUGUGCCACAGUAUUUCAUUUCUGCAAGCUUCAUUAAUGCAACACUGAAAAUACAGCAAAAGCAUGUAUCAGAUAUCUCCCAGGUAGAUUAUAAGGACCGUGAAUAAACAGUAUAACUUCCAACAUCAGAAACAGAAAAUGAAAGAAUAACUUGCUAAAGACAAGACAAGCAAAACGGAAAAGUUAACCAUAGAUUGCUAACUUAAGAAAUGAGAUAUAAUCAAGAGAUUUGUGCAUAACAUUUUUAAGUGGUUCUUAAAAUUAUUUUAAAAAAAUUGAUGCAAUUGACUGCUCACAGCCUUUCUAAAUGUAGGAAUACAUUGCAAGCCAACUGGUAUAAACUAAACGUAGUAGUUAUGUUAAAAGUAUAUUCUAGAUAAAAAUAAUCCAAAUAACAGAUAUAAUCAACUUCUAUUUCUUUUUAAAUCCUUAUCAGAAUGGCUUCUAAGCCGUCACCCAACAAACUCUUCAUCUUCAAGGGUCUAUUUGGAAGCCUUCCGUUCUGACAAUGGCAAAUUGGUUCAUAACUUAUGGAAUCAAUACCAAAUCUUGAUAAGGCAGCUUACAUACCUAGAAUGAAGUGGAGGAAUGGAGACCUUCUGUAUAAUGCUCCCAAAAAUAACAGCUUCCCUUAGAUUACAUGUCCCUGACUGUUCAAGAAGAAAGAGAAAUGGAGCCAUGGGGGAAGUGCAUUAGAAUUAGGAAAACAUCCAUUCCAAAACCGUAAAAACAUUUUAGAUCCAUGCAUCCCAUUAAUAUAAUGAAAUUGAGGUGAAUAUCAGAUCUCAAAAACUUAGUUUGGAUACAUCCGAAUGAACUAGCAAAAAGGUUAGCAUCAUAAACCCGUAACUUCAGUAUGACAGAGAGAAUGAAAUCAAUGAAUGAGCUUCUGAAACAAACAAACAAACAAUGCUUAAACUUCAAAAUACUGCAUUAGAUGGAGAAGGAUGGCAUGUUUACCUCACACAAGGGAAACAGUAUUCCUAUAAAAAAGGCCGCAGGCUUGUACAAAGACUUCUUCAAAGAUUGAUAUAGUGCAAAAUGCAAGCGCUUGGGUUUGCGGAUGUCUUCCCUCACCCUUGGGAGCAACACAAGCUUGUAGAAACGUUCUACCUUCUCCUUACUCAAAUUGGAAGCAAAAAUCCUCGUAGCUUGAUACAUUGCAUUUGGUGACCAAUUCUCAGGCUCAGUCAAAUAUAGGACAUCCUCCCAUCGUGGCACUGAAGGGAUGUGUUUGAAUGCCUUGGGAAUCUUUCCAGCAGUGUACUUAUUAAGAAACUUGCCAACCCUGCACAAACAUCGAAAAAGUAAGACGUCGUCCUCAUGGCCUAGCAUUACUCGAAUAACAGAUAUGCUAGGAUAGCUUGAUUACCCCUUAUACAAAUCUAUGACAGAGGUAUCCAAUUUAGGCAGAGGCCUCGCAUCUGCAACCGAACAAAUCAAAUCAACAAAUGAAAAUAUACUAAAGAAACGACCUUCAGCUUUAGCUAAUGAAAGAAGGAACAACAAAAUCAUAUUCCAUAUCUACCUGAGCCGACAUUUGAAUCGUUCUCUUUAAUUCUUGCGACAAUGAGGUCUGCCAGAGUACGCUGCGGACCGGCAUCCUUUGACAAGAAUUGCUCCAAUAUUUUCUCAUCAUGUUCAUCAAUCUCAUGUAAUGGCUUCUCGCCAUUUUCAUCACUUUCCUGAAACUCAUAUUAAACAUUUUUCAUUCACAAAUCAAAUUAAUUUCAUCCAAUUGAAACCUAACAAUUAAUAAAAUUAAUUAAACAACACAAUUCAGCAUUCAUUUUACAUUUCCUUUGUUUCCUCACAGAUUCUCACCAUUCAAACAAACUCAAAAAUCCAAUAAACAAACAAUUAGCGAUCAAAACUCACAUCAUAACCGUCAAAUCGGCUCUGCGUUUCAGAGAAUCCACCGAAAUCAUCGAUAUCCUCCUCUUCGCCGUCGGCCACCUCCUUCCGCGGCUCUUCCGAUACAUCCAGAAGCGAAUUGUUAGGGUUUUGAGCGCGGUUCUCCUCGUCCUCUAUCUCCCGCUGCUGAGCCAGAGCCUGUUUGAGGAUCUUAGAGCUCAUUCCGGAAGAUAUGAGCUUCUCCUCCUGCUGGUGCUGCUUCGACUUGGUCCGCUUCUUGGAGGCGACGGAGCCAUUUUCUUCGGCGAGGAACGGCUCCGGAUUCUGGUGCCUCUCUCUCUGCCUCUUCUUGCCCAUUGAUGCUGGUGCAGCUGCAGGCGAAGCCUUUUCUGCUAUUGAAACUGGAAAGUUAAAACCCCCGCCACCUGGAUUUCUUCAGUCUAAAACCCUAACCAUAGACAAAUUGCGGACCAAAAAUUAAAAGAAAAAUCUAGUGGGCCGGAAGGGCCCAACAGGAAGGCAAGAGAAAUACGAAUGGCCCACCUAAUAUUCUAACAAGGUGACAAAGGCCCAAGAAGAGCCCAAACUGAACCAAAAUCUAAAGAUUUUGUUCUAAUUUCUAUCUUAUUUUUCUUUUUUUAUGGAGAGUAUUCUUUUCUUUUGUUGGAUUAUAAAAUGAUAUUUUAAAUUAUUUUAAUUUACGGGAUUUAAGGUUUAAAUUUAUAUAUUUUGGUCUAUAUUGAAAGCUUAAAGUUAAAUGGAAAGGGAGCUGACCAACCUGAUGUAAUAAUCGUUAGAACAACUUCAAUGCAUAGUGUGAAAUUGAAGAUGUAAGUGGACCCUUUACAUGUACGCAAUAUCUUUUGGUGCAUUCUACUUUUUAAUAUUGCCUUCCUCUAAUUAUUCUCUUAUGAUUCUUCAUUUCUCAAAGUGUGUCAAUUUUCCUUCUGAAUUCGAAUUUAAGCUUUGUUUCGACGGGAAAUAGCAAGAUAAGGUACUAUUCUUGAUGAAUUUGCUAUUGUGGGAAAACAGAGAAACAGAAAGGCAUGGUAGAGAACGGGAGCUAAUAUUAAAUUUUGCUUAUAAGAACUUGAAAACACCACAUAUUGUUAGAAAUAAUAGCGUCAGUUACAUCCAGAAAGACACAAUAUGAAACUUGACCGAAGAUACAUAGUGUACUUUUGUUCUGAAGUCUGAAAUUCGCGAAAUAUCCACAUGUUUCAACGUGUGAUAAACUGUAUAUGCGAUUUUGAUAACAUCCCGGAAGCUGUUCUGAAUUCCUUACCCUGCAAAUUAGUUUACUGGCAUCUAAACUGACUGAUCUGCCAAACCUGGUAAAGAAGAUUACAAAAAUAACCAGGAGACUUGUAAGUUGCUUUUUCAAUUCAUAAUUUCAUAUCACAAAAGUAUGGCCAUGUUUUAUUUUUCACUUCCAAUUGUCUGUAUUUAAAAUGUGAUGUGCACAGUUAACAUCGAAUGUUGAUGGAUAGCGGGGGAAGCAAUUGCGUUGGUCCAAUAUGUCCAAGCAACAAGGAGAUACAUAGGAAAUUGAUCGGUGAAACUUUGGUUGCACAAAAGAAACUGUAAAUGGUAUCAUGAUAUUACCUCAUCGACUAAACCACUUUCAACCAGAACCAGAAAUCAAUCUGAGUUUUUAGAGAUAACCUGCAAUUUCAGAACCUCUGAAAUCAGAUUCAUAGCCAUCUAUAGUAUAGUACAAGGAAAUCAAGGCACCACAGGUAGAGGAUAAAGAAAAAUGUGAGAGUACAUAGUUGAUAAGUAAGACUGAUGAACAUGCAUAUUAUAAGCUUACCUCUAGUAUUAAUGCUUUGGCAUGCUCUUCCCACUCAGUAGCCCACCUCCCAGAUGAAGCCAUUUCCAAUGCACCGUUCCUGAGAACCUUCAAGGAACCACAUGCCUCUGGAAAACCCUUGAACAGCAUCUGUACAGGUUAUAAGAGAGAUAUUAUCACGAAGAUGGUGCACUAAACAGUAAUCCAAAGUUUUGAGUCGUUGAAGUUAAGCAAAUUACGUUAAUAUUGCAGUGGUUAGUCUACCAUGCAUAUUAGUUUCAUCUAUUAACCACCAUGACAUCCACUAGGAGACACCAAAAUAUAUAUGAUUUGCAUUCUUUUUUACUGCAUUUCAUGCAUUUCAAGUUACAUGAAUUGCAUAUGAGGUUUGUUACGCAAGUAUUAAUUGUUACAAUCAUUUUAAGUAGCAGUUGAAACAUCCCGACAGAGAAACAAGCAAGCUGGCCAACUUACCAAAAGUUCAUCCGCUAGUUCUGAAGACGAUGAAAACAGAAGGCCGUUUUUCUCAACUUGCACUAGUUCCUUGAUGCUUUGAAAAAAGAUUACCAUAACCAAGGACAUCAGAUUUUAAUGUACAGCAUCCCCAAAAGUCCAUAUAGAAUGUCAUAAUAAGUAAGAUUCCUAUCGCAUAAAGAAAGUAAUUAAUAAAAAAAUGAGUUUACCAUGAGUAGGAAACAGCACAAACUGGCAGUCCACAGCCAAACAUGUCCACGACCUACUGCCAAAAAAUGUACAAUAACGCAAAGUGAAAAGCAGUUAGAGAAAAUUCAUAUUGUUGUAGAUCUAUUCUAGUGCAGUAUUCAGUUUACCCCUUACCUUCAUGGGAAGAUCCAACCCUGAUGAGGACGUAUGCAAGCAUACACCAAGAUCCGCUGAUCCUGCAAAUGUAAAUAAAUAUAUAACACUGAAUACUUUUGGAAGAGCAUAUAAUGUGCAAGGAACAAUGGGGACAAAGCACAAGCAAUUGAAAAUAAAAGACCUACCAAGAAGCAAUGGAUAGUCCUCAGCAGACAACCACAUAGUACGAAAUGCCACGCGUUUGAGGUGUAAUCUGCUAAUUUUUUCUUCAUAUUUUUGCUUUUCGGGCCCUUUACCUACACGAAUUAAAUCAGUAUGCAAGUGCGUAAGAUGACCCCUCUCUCUCUCUCUCUCUCUCAUAACAGAUAUGCAAGGCUAAAAGGAACCUGACAUCCUAGAACAAAGAAAUAGUUAUACUCACCAGUAAUGACAAAUAACAGCCUAGGGUAUAAGUAUUGCUUCCCACUAUGAAUAUCCUUCCAAAGAACCUCUUCUUUAGUAGAAUCUUCUUCAUUUAAAAUAGCAGCAACACGCCUGUCAUACAUGACAGCUGCUUCCAAGAGAAUUUCAAAAUCUUCGUCAGGAGUCCUGUAAAGAACCAUUCAAAAAGACAAAUAAAAAUUGAAAAAUCAAAUGUUUUAAACAUGGGGUUUGUCUUUCACGUUACAUCAAAGUAUUCCACUGAAUAUUAGCUCACCAGCUUGUACUGCUAACUAUGAGUGCUGGCCUGUGUGGCUUCAAAGUAACGUCAGUACCAACCAGAGAGGUAAAUAGAGUAUCGUUUAUGUCUGUAUUCACUUCCCCUGAUCCUGUUAGAUAAAUGUUAACAUAUUCAAAGAACAUUACUAAUCGAUGAAGGGCAGUCAAGAAGCAAAUUAUAAAUUUAAAGAAACUGAUUAUUAUUACCAGUGCUAGUGCAAUCAUGAACACCAAGUGGCUGCCUUAGAUUUUUAUCUAAUCUGCAGAACAACUGCAGAUAACUCACAUGUUAUACCAAAUUCUCCAAACCAAAAAAAAAGAGUCAAAACAAGCUCAGAAUUAGGCAUUCAAACACCUUAUGCUUUUCUUCAAGUGAAGCAGGUCGGAAAAACUCAGGAGGCUGAUCAUAUAAAACUGUGGCUCUAUCAAUUUGGAAGACAACAGAAGACAAGUAAAUAUAUAUCACUUGAUAAUGAAGUUUUGUGAAGUAGCAAUAAAUUGUGAAAUAUUGAGCUGACCGUCUUACUUAAUUCCCCAAUUUUGAGCCAAUUCAUGUUGCAUUGCCCUCGUUACACAUAGGGAACCAUCUGCCAUCUUCCCGAAAUACCUCUCAAACCUAAUCAGGAAAGAGAAACUCAAUCUACUGCACCACCAAAAAUAUGGCCUCAAAGAAAAGUCUAAAAAAAUUCAAUAGCUACCAACGGUAUAUUGCCACAAAUCUACUACUUCUUCCAAGAGACAAUGCCAGUAAAGUAUAUCCAAAAUUAUGCCAGUCAACAAUAAAGGCAGAUUUCCUAAGCCAGCUUGCCCAUUUUACAGCCAUUAAGGUUGGAACAGAGGGUGGAUUCUGCACAAGCAAAAUGAAUCAUAGGGUUUAGAGAAAGAACGUUCACAUUCAAUUCACUUACUCUAAAAUCUAAAUACAAAAUUCAGGAACCAACUGAAAUUUGUAGCCUAAAAUUUGCAAAUGGUUGGCACUUGGCAGCUAAUUAAUCAAAUUUGAAAACUUGUCAAAGAGAAACAAUUAAACAUUGUCUAGUUUAUAAAAAGCUUCUGCAACUUCCCAACUGGACCAGUACAAGCUCACCUGAACUAGAUAAACAUCGGGAGCAGGUAUCUUAAUGCAAAGAAACCAAAGAAGCAUUAUAAACUGAGUCACUGCCUUGAUCAAAAGCACGAAGGGUCUAAGUAUGUUGGGCAGGCCACGCGUAAAUGUCUGCCACUGCUGCUGCCAACCAGAAUCACAAUAACUUUAAUCUUGUGGACGACCAAAAAAUUCGAUAGUAAGAUACUGCGGUAAAAAGAAAAUUGCACUUCAACAAUAACUACCAUUUUGUGUAUGUGAAUGGACUGAUGUUCAAGUAGAGCGGAAUGGGGUUCGGAACCUGUCCAAACAUUCCAACUCAAAUCCAAAUCAGCACUAUGAGGUAACAUUUAGAUUCAAAUUUGCUCAACAAUGCACAUAAUUCUACAAUCAAAGCAAAAGAUGUACCUCCAUAUGCAACAAUAUCUACCUCCAGAGAAGCCUGAGACGCACAUUCAAUAGAAAAAAUCACAAAAAGGUCCAAAUUUCUCAUGAAAAAGAGCAAUUCCGACUUCAAAACACAUUUCAAAAGCACAAAAUGGAAAAUUAAGAAUUGGGUUGUUGCUAAAUCAGCUGUAGAAGUUCAGGCGGGGGCGCUUACCUGUCGGGCAAGCGAAAGAGCGUGAUACUGCAUACGGGGGCUCCGCCCAAUAUCGCCCAGCACCACCACGCACGCCCGCCCUCUCUUCCCUCCUGCAAUCAGAAAUCCCAAACUCCUCAGAAAUCUGCAAAGAAACGAGCUUUCGAGAAAAAAGAAAGAACGAAAAAGCUUGCCUUUGCCGGCCAUGGUUCUCUGUUCCGCUUGGAUUCUGAUCUCCGACGGAGAGAGUGGUGCCAACUGCCAAAGGUGCAGACUUGCAGUUGAAGUCAUGAGGAAGACGAAGGGAGAGAGAGCGAGAGUCGUGGGAUGUCAAGGCGGGCCGGUUAACUGGGCUUGGGCGACCCAAUUAGACCCAAUUUCGCACGAGAAAUAAUAAAAUGGGCCUACCCUUACCGGGUUUUCUUUCUUUUGGAUUUGAACCAUAAGAAUUCACACUCAUCCGAGAUGCUUACUGACUCGGCGUCACCACCCAUCCUCUCAAGCCGCGAGCUUUCGCCAUUGUUAGGGUUCCGAAUUUGCUUGCUUUGAUCAGGACAGUGGAGGUUCCAAGGUGUUUUCUUCACAUUCAUUACAUAUUUUCAUCUGGGUUUCAAUAGUCUUGGUGUUUUGUGAUUGGAUUGUGUGCUUUUUUGUUGAAUUGAAAAGCUAUAUGCUGUUAAUUGUGGUGCAAAAUUGUUCAGUUGGGAAUUGGAGUUUUCUCUGCUGCUAUAUAAUGUUUAGAAGUUUAUUGGAUUAUGUUGGUGAAGAAAUGGAUGCGUUAUUUGUGUAAAAACUUAGCUUAGCUUAAUUUCAUGACUUUGGGUCGGAAGGAAGUUGAGGUACCAUUGAUUGGCAGUUUGGGAAGUAUCCAAGUUUUGUAAGCACCUGCAAGGUUUGGUAAACUUCCGACGGCGGGCAUUUGUUCACAUCCUCACAUGGUCCGUCUAGAAUCUAGAUGAAUACUCUAUUCUCUUUGACUUGUUCAAUUUGAUGCUAUAGAAAUUCAUUGGUUCCAUUGACUUUUUCUGGGUCAAUCUGAUUUGUGCAUUUUUUGUGUACUCUUCAUUUCUUGUGUGUUUUGUGAUGAAAUCAGGUGAACACAAAUAUCACUGACUCCCAGCGCUGAACGGUAUGGUAACUUGAGGAGAGCCCGUUCCCAGUGAUUGCAUCGGGUUCUCUGGUUUUUGAAAAUUUUCGAAGUACAUUUCCAGACUUUACACUGAUCUGUGGUGCCUUCUCCUCUGUGAUAAAAUCGGAAAGCAGACUGAAUUGUUUAUCCAAAAAAAGUUGAGGAAAAUUAACAGAACCAACCAUGCAAACCGCUUCAUAUCUUCAUCCGUUCUCUUAUUUUGCUGACAGGUAUCUAAUUUUAUGAAUGUUCUCAUCUCAUUGUUUUUGUUUCUGUGUUCAUUUUUUUUUUUAAGUUUCAAUUAAAGUCUUGAAACAUAUUUCAGAAGAAGCCUUUUGAAACCAGAUGGGUGGAGUAAAUCACAAACCUCAUAUUCAAGUGAUCUUGUCAGGAGAGUUCUGAUUACUAGAAGACCUCAGACAUGUAAGUUUCUCUUGCCUAAGCAACAAACCAGAUUGUUUGCAAUUCCCAACAUAGAUGAUGGCCACCCUUCUGCCUCUGUGUUAGAAGAUUCAAAUACAAAUCAUGCACCCAAUUCAGAAGCGAAGACGGUGUUGCACAAAUGGUCACCUCCCACGUAUAUGUGGAGGGGGUUUUCAGCUCUUAUCCUGGCAGGACAGGUUAUUUUGAGAACUUUGAAGGGCAAAGUGCACUGGGGAAAUACACUUCAGCAAUUAAAGAGAGUUGGGCCAGGUUCAGUCGGGGUCUGUCUCUUGACUUCAACAUUUGUUGGCAUGGCCUUUACGAUCCAAUUCGUUAGGGAAUUUACUAGAUUAGGGUUAAGCAGAGCCGUUGGUGGGGUUUUAGCACUGGCUUUCUCAAGGGAGUUGAGUCCUGUAAUUACAUCAAUCGUGGUUGCUGGGCGUAUUGGAAGCUCAUUUGCUGCAGAGUUGGGAACAAUGCAGGUUUCUGAGCAAACCGACACUCUGAGAGUUCUUGGGGCUGACCCGGUUGAUUAUCUUGUGACUCCAAGGGUGAUUGCUACAUGUAUUGCUCUUCCGUUUCUGACUCUAAUGUGUUUCUCAGUAGGGAUGGCAUCCAGCGCCCUCCUUUCCGAUGGCAUUUAUGGUGUUAGCAUCAACAUUAUAUUGGAUUCAGCUUGCAGAGCUCUCAAACCAUGGGAUAUAAUUAGUGCAAUGAUCAAGUCACAGGUUUUUGGUGCGAUCAUAUCGAUUGUGAGUUGUGCUUGGGGAGUGACCACUAUGGGAGGAGCCAAGGGUGUUGGAGAGUCAACAACUUCGGCUGUGGUUAUAUCUCUUGUUGGGAUCUUUAUCGCAGAUUUUGUACUCUCGUGUUGUUUCUUCCAGGGAGUUGGAGAUUCAUUGAAGAGGCUCUAAGUGGUUGUUGAUAAGCUAAAGGAGAGGCUGAAGCAGGAAAUAAAUCAAAGUAUGUAUUCUUGGCUGCGUGACAUUUUCGCACAAUGGCAGGUCAGCUUGUAGUACUCCUUGAUGGUUGUUGAGGCAUUAUACAGAGGAAUAUAUAUUGUUUUUCUCCCCCCAUCAUUCGUUAAUGCCGAAUGCAGUGAGGAGAGCAGUUUUUGGAGUAAUUUUGCAUUAAGAAUCACAAAAGACGACCUGAAGUAUCUCAUUGCAAAGUAAGCGGGCUCGGCGUUGAGAGUCUUGAUGUAGGGUUUUGUACAUCUCCUUUCACUGUUAAUCGUUGUGAAUUUUCUCUUAAAAUAGCAAAACAACGUUGUUAAACGAGGCUAUUGGAGAUGCUCUUAGCUUUCCGCCAUUGAAAUUUCCAAUUUCGACACAAGUUAUAUCAUGAAAAUUUCGUUUUGUGACAUUUACUGCCUAGCUAAACUAACUUUUGCACAAAAACACCACAUUUCAGGGAGACUUAACGAUUUCCCGUGACUUGCAUGUGACAACUAUUAUUUUGUGUUACUUUACCACCUUAAUGUUUUUUUCGUGCCAGAUUGCUACCUGAAUUUGUUUUUGCAUCAAAACUACAUGAUAAAUCGUAUCUAAGAUUGUUUUGGUCAAAACUAAAAGAAUCAACAAUGAGGGUUUCGAAAAUUAUUCCCCAAAACUUGAAUGCCGUUUAGAGGUAAAACGACACAAAAACGGGUUCAGGUGGUAAAGUCACACAAUAUAGUGGUCGCGUGACUAUUUUUAACGAAAAUUUCUACAAUCUGGACAUUAUGUGGUAUAUCAGAAUCAUUUAACUGCAGCAAAGGAGAUUGUCGUAAUAGUUAUAUGACGAUCGAUAUUUCUGUUUAAUGGAAAAAAUAUACAGUGAAGGGCAGCAGCAGUAGCCAUGGAAAUAUUAUCUCACCGUCCAGCAUCAUUACAGAAAACGCAGAAAUAAUAAGGAAUCCAAGAACAAAGGCAGGCUGUGGAACCGAUCACAUCAACUCUCAGCUUGUAAAGGUUUAUCCACCGCCAUUCAUUUGAAUGUUUCUAUAACCUUGGCUGAUGGCGAGGGCGAGGAGCGUCCCAGUCAGUCACAAUGUGAUCGCGGGUGAUCUCUUUGAGCGAACGGCAUCCACUUAAUGCCAUGGUUAGCUCAAACUCUUCGCGCAGCAUUUGGAGUACCUUUCUAAUGCCAGCCUCUCCUUCAGCAGCGAGAGAGAACACCACAGGGCGCCCAAUCUGCGAGAGAAGCAAGUCUCAGUAUGUUUUGAUAGACAGUAUAAUCUUUUCGCGGAGGGGGUGGGUGAGUAAUAUAUGGAUGGAAUAAGUGCUUCUACAUGGAAAAAUCAUGAUCAAAACUUGACUUACAAAUAUGCCAGAGGCACCCAAAGCUAAUGCUUUGAAGACAUCUGUUCCUCGACGGACACCACCAUCCAAGAAAACAGGAAUGCGUCCUUGUGCACCUUUAACAACCUAGUUGUCAAGACAGCGCCGCCAUGUCAAAACAUUACGAAAACUAGGAUGGUAUAGGUGCAUGUUUACUUAACAUUUAGGAGAUGCACUACAAACAGCUAAAAUCAAGUUUCUGUACCUCUUCGAGGGCCAUGAUAGUCGAAGGGACGUAAUCAAGUUGGCGAGCUCCAUGGUUGGACACAAUAAUCCCAGCUGCUCCAGCUUGUACUGCAAUCCUUGCUGCAUGAUAUGAGCGUAGAAGAGUUAUACAAGCAUUACAAACCUAUCAUAACGACGGAGAGAAAAGGAGCUCAAAUACAUACCAUCUUCGGCAGUGAGAACACCCUUAACUAGGAUAGGCAGUGAAGUGAUUGUCUGAAGCCACUGCACAUCCUGUUGAAAUAUCGGGGCAGAUCAUUAGAUGCAUAUCAACUUUUUAUUCAAAAAUAAGGCAUACAUGCUGAGAAAACAUCGCUUCCUCACAAACAUCCAGCUGGAUAUGCCCAGCCAAAACACCUUCAUUAUUUUAAAUUUGCAUACUUUUCAUCAAAAGAUGGAAGAACCUACAUUUGUACUUUUCAAUUCGUUCUAUUGAAUGAUCUAGAAAUAUUACACUUUUGUUGAUAUUCCAUCCUUUUAUUUUGUUGGACUCUUUUUAAACUUAAAUGAUGAAGGCUAAAUAACUUGUGACACCAAGUUGUAAAUUUUCCACAUUAUGAGCCUUGCUUAGAAGUUCAUGUAUCUCGACAUUCGGUGUUAUCUGACAUACCUUCCAGCUAAGAGAACGAUCGAUUUGACCAGCAACGUAUGAAGCAAGUCCAGAGUCAGCAGCCUGAAGGAGCCCCACACCGCAAAUUAAACAUAAAAGACAUUAUUCUGAAAAUUAGGACAGCACAGUUUAUACUCACUUUGUCCAUCUUUCCGAGGUCCAAACCCUCAAAGUUCUUCAGUGUCAAAAACGGAGGCAAGGUAAAUCUGCAAGGUACCAAAUAAGAGGUAUUAACAAGAUUAAACUCUUCCACAUGUUAAGCUUGCAUCAAAUGCCGAACUGAAUUAGUCUUAUUGAACCGAUGAAAGUAAAAACACUCACACGCACACGCACAUGCACAUAUACAAAUCUUCACCAAAUUUAUUUAUUUAUCUUACUAGGUUGAUAUGAAUGUUUUGACCAGCUGAUAUUGCUAUAACAGUUAUGGACAUGAAGUUGACCUGUUCUUGAUGUCAGCUUCUCUGCGACCGAGCCUUGGGGUAUCAACUGUAAGAGCAAUAGCCUUGAACCCAGCCCUUUCAGCUCUUCUCACCAGCUGAGCAACCACAUUCCUGUCCUUGUAGACCUUAUAAUAAUGACCAGCAAAACAUGGAUCGCAUAAGGCAAGGAAACAUUUACUCAAAAGUCAUAACUCAAGACCAGGGACAAUUGGGUGUCGUAACUAACGAAUAGAAAUGAAAUUAGUAUUUAAGCUUACAUAGAGCUGGAAGAAACGGAUUCCAGGUCCAGUUGAAGCAACCUCUUCAACACUUGAAGUAGCCCAUGAAGAUAAGGUCUGAAACAAUCAACACGGGGUAGAAGUAAAGAACAUAGACAGAACUUGUAAUAUAAGAGCAAACCAACAUGUAAAAAUCCGAUAAAUAAAAUAAGUGUAGGUCAGCUAUUGAAGACAAUUGAUCAAGGUCAACAACGGUACCAUAAUUGUUCCUGCAGCUGAUGCUGCCCUCGCAGUAGCAUAUUCACCUGCAAGAAUUCUCAUAUCAUCGUCAGAUGGAUACCAUGGCUUCCUUGAAGAGUAUUAGGCAUGACACUGGAUGCCAUUUUACAAUGGAUCGAAAAUCCGAUGUUUGUUCACCCUUUGUACAAUUUUCUCAUUGUUUUCUCAAAAAAAUUUACACAGAUUAAAAGUGUUCUCAAGCUCAGCACACUGUAUGGGGGCUAUCCAUGUUGUAAGUAUAUUAAUCAUGUAACCCCGUGGUGACUUAUAUGAUCAAGGUAAAUCUUAUGUUGUCAAUAACUUACAUGGGGUAAAGAUGAUAUUAAUACACAUGAUACAGUCCAAUUCUAAACGCAAUAUCCAAAUAUCAGCUCAAGAGCAAGGAGAGAUGGCUCACCAUUCACCAGUUGCGCUAUGUUCUUCCCAAAUGAAAAACUACUCAAUCUUAAUAACGUGAAUCAAUAGCAUACCUUCAGGAUGGGCCAUUUUCUGCAUGGCUGUUGGGGCAAUCAUGAUGGGCAUUGAGAUCUUGAAGCCCAAAACAGUGGUGGUCAUGUCUAUGCGGCUCACAUCAAUGAGAAUACGGGGUCGAAACCUAUGUUUGAUGACAAUACGUUGUUUCAUGAGAACUCCAAAGCUGAUACUUUAUACAGAAAAAAGGGCACUGCUAGAUAAAUACCAUCGAGUACUACUUUAUAGUUUUUACUGAGUAUCUCAAGAUAAAGAUUGAAUUCUUACAGAAUUCUCGCGAAAGCAUUUCUGUUUUCAGCAAGAGUCCACUGGUCCUCUGCUCCUGAUGCAUAGUAGUCAUAGACCAUCUUUGGCAACUUCUCCUUUGCGAUGGCCUCAUACUCGCUGACGUUGGUAAUCUCCAUUUUACAAGUUGACGGUCGACGCUUCCCUGAAAAAUAUGUAUUUAACAUCAACAUCAUGCUAAUGAGAUCAUAUUCUGGAUGCGGACACAGCUUGUUCUUCCCCUUUUCUCUUUUUCCAGAAGUUAGAAACAAGAAAGUACUCAAAUAUCAGAGGAAGUUAAGACACACAAAUUUGCAUUAAGAAACAGUUCUUGCACUCGCACUCGCACACACACAUAAGGCACUAAACUGAAUCAAAAUCAUUGAUCAUAUGUACUCAGGUUGUCAAUAAAAGAUAGGUUAUGUCCCCAUGUCAGCUAAACUACUUUCUUGCUUAAGGUAGAUACUAGAUUAAGAAGAAUAAUAUUGGGAUUACGAAGAAUAAAAUUGAUAUAUAUAAAAAGGACUGAAUCCACUGCAACCUACUGCAUCUCGAGUUUAAACCCUCCCCUCACCUUAGUGUAACUUAGAGUAGUAGUAACGCUCGUAAUAAGAACAAAAAAAAAAAAAAAAGACUAAACCCAAUUCACUGUUAAGGAAAAUACAACCAGGGCAUGCUCAAUUCCCCACUUUAAUUGGUUCCAAAAGCAUAAAAAGCCAUUACGAAGUGAGAUUGCAAAACUCACUUAAAAAAUUGCACCAAGUUACAAUCUUUCUGUUUUGUGGGCAACAAGUUAUAAUCUUUCCAAGCAAGUUUGAGAAUACUAGUAAAAGAAAGAACACAGAAUUUAAGAGGAGAGAGAAGAAAACCUGAAGUUUGAGUCCAAGACUAUGCAACAAAGUGCAUCAAGAGGAAGCAGUGCAAAAUAGAUAUAGAACAGAUAAACAAAGAGAUUAUAAGUAUGAGGUUGCAUGCAGACAAACUGGGUGGGGCUCAUAUAUUCUUGAGAGAGAGAGAGAGAGAGAGAGAGAGGGAAUGGAUGAGCAUUUGGAGGUGGGAAUUGGAAACCAAAUCGGAUGAGGGGAAGAGAGAGAGAGGGUGUCAUCCACAGAAGCCUUGUGUGUUUCACAGUUUUCCUCUUGCAUUAUGAUUUUCUGAACCCCAAAAAAUGAAAUUUGGAUAAUAAAGAUUUGUCCUUUUAAUUGAAAAAUAGACAAUUUAAGGACAAGUGACAAAUUUCCCUCCUUUUUAUCCUUCUUCUGUGUUGUCAUGCUUGAUGUUUGACUUCUACUUCCAGCCAAAGAUGACUGGUUACUGGUGUGGUGAGUCUGGGAAGACUGGAAUGCAACUGCAGUCGGGUCGUCUUUUAAUUGGGUAUGGGUCGAGAACCAGAGGUCCAGCACAAAGUAUGAUUGAAUUUGACAAGUAAUAUGGGCCUAUCAACCCACCUCAUCCCCUCUCAAGGCUUCGUCAAAUUUUACGUUAAGUUCAUUUUCACUUGUAAGUGAAAAAGUAUUAUGUUAGAUUUUUAUUAAAGGAAAUUUGAACUAAAUUAUUAUGGCUAGCUCAGUGUAAGGCUUAGUCCACCCUCAUCUAUUAGUGUAGAUAAUAUCGUACGUAUUAAAAAAAAAAGUGAUAUAAUUCAGGAAGUGAUUUCACAGUUUAAAUGUCAAAGCAUAAUAGACUUUCCCCCAUCUCAUAGUUUAAAGUCAAUUUUUGUGCCAACUUUAUAAAAUAUUGUUUCACUUUUAAGAGAUUCCUCUUAGCAUUUCUCAUCAAACAAAAGUGUGAUAUACUUUUAUUAGUGACUUCAUAAUUUGACUCAAUCAACAACGCGAUAUAACUCUAUGAAUAAGAUAACGAUAACAACAACAAACGAUUAUAAAUUUCAGCAAAAAAAAAAAACGAUUGUAAUAAAUUAUUUUAAUUCUUAUAAGACUUAGUACUGGUUUGAUGUUGAAGUGCUUUUAUAAAAAAGUGGGUAUUAAAAAAGAUCAGCUCAAAAAUAUGUUUGGUAAACACUUCAAAACAGUUUAUUUUCACAAUUUUUUGUGAAAAAAACUAAAAACGUGAAGCAGCAAAAAUAAGUUUAUUCUCACGUCACAGCAAAAACAAACCUUUUUUUUUUAAACAGUGCAAUACCAAACCAGAGUAUAUAUUAAAACCAUUGAUUGACAAUGUGGUAGGAAACUCAUCGUUACCGUGAAAAGUUGUUAUUUGGCACUAUUUUGCAAAUUUGAAAGUCAAUACCGUUUCCAACAUUUGUGGAUUUAGCACUGCACCGUCAAAGGCUCAAAGCUGCUUUCUUUGCGCUCCAAAACACGCAGAAAACUGCAUUCCCUCGUAUGUUUUGUUAUUUUUCACUUGGGUUUUAUGGAUUAUUACUUCAAUCAUAGCGUCAGUGAUGCGUGUUCACCAGGUGUUUGUAGAAAUGCCCAACAGAAGUAUAAAGAGAUAGAGAAAGAGUGUGUCUGCUGUUUGGUUUUACGCUAUUACUGUUGUUAUGUAUUAUCUACUUCUUCUUCUUACCAUAACAAGCAUUGAUCUGCAGUUUGCCACUCUGUUAUUGGAAUCUGCUCCACACUUUGCCUCUAUGGGGAGCAGCAACAGCUUGGGGAUUCAUUCUUGGUCUAUCUUAGCGCCUCAGCGGGUAAUUCUUCCGCAAAAAUCCGUACCAAAGUCCCAUUCUUUGUCCCCAACUGUCACCGUUUCUAGCAUUGCCACCAACAAGACCUGCUCUGAGAGGUACCCAAUACCAAGAGGUUGCUUGGGAUUUGCUGCAUUCACCAGAAAGGUAAAUAAGACCAUAAGAGGAUGUGCUACCAGCCCAUUUGUUGUUGCCAAUGAUGAAAAGUAUGGAAACAAGCAGAUUAUCAGUAUUACUCCACGCCUUUACGACUACAUCCUUGCCAAUGUUCGAGAGCCAGAGGUAUAAAUGAACCCAAUUUCGAUUUCAUUUCACUUUAUUCGGCACCUUAGUUUUCUUUUUUUUUCUUUUUUCUUUUUUUUUUGAGUUCUUUUACAUCUGCAUUUUCUGUACGGGUUAUCUUGAUCACAAUUGCAUUUCAGGUUCUACAACAACUUAGGGAGGAGACUGCCUCUAUGCGUGGUAGUCAGAUGCAGGUACUUGCUACUGUUACUCAUUCCUUUUUAUGUAACAUGGACAUUGAUAAGAUAUAGGUGAAGGGAAAUGCUGGUUUUUAAGGUAGCUAGCCAGGACCCUCUUGAAAACAAUUGAAACUUUUAAUUGACAACCAAAGUUAACUGCCUUCGACUGUCUGAUGUCUUCGUACUUCUUCUUUAUAUUGCAACACAAUUUGACAGUGUGGUGCUCUCUGGAUAGGUGUCUCCUGAUCAGGCUCAACUGCUUGCAAUGCUUGUGCAGAUUCAUGGGGCUGAAAAGUGUAUUGAAGUUGGCGUUUAUACCGUAUGUAUCCCUUCUCAUUCUAACUUAAUUGUAUUGCAACUUAACAGGCUUCCUGCUACUUUGUUCUAAAUUUCUAAUCGCACAUUCCCUUUUGGGUAUAUUAUAGUAAUUAUACCAAUGUCUCUUGAGGCAUGUGUCUCACUUUGGUCUUCGACAUUCAAUUUGACUCCCAUUGCCCCUUGAACUUCAUUCGACUUACUAAAGUGGCCCUUUCUAUUGGAUCUUUUAUACUUUCGAUAAAUAUUGGUCAUACACCAAUCACAUUACCAUUUUUUGAAAGAUAUAAUCAUCAGUUGAACUUGAAACCCAAUAUAUUAACUGAAAGACACAAAGUCAAAAAAGUCAAAAAAGCAGAUGCGUAUGGUGAAAUGUAAUUAACAUUGACAUUCCUUGACUACUCCCUCUGUUUCCCUCAUUUUCUUCUCUUUUCCUGUUUCUUAGUCUUUGUUACUGGGAGAGCAAGAAGAGACAAGAAUAGCUCUCACGUUCAUGUGAUGAACUAGCCACAUCUGAUAUAAUGGUUACUGUUUAAUUCAGGGAUAUUCAUCAUUGGCUAUUGCACUGGCUCUUCCAGAAUCCGGUAGGUUAGUAGCCUGCGAAAGAGAUUACAGAAGUCUCGAGGUGGCAAAAAAGUAUUAUGAUCAAGCCAAUAUUUCCCACAAGGUAGUAUGUCUUCCACUCAUCAGUACUGUCAAUGAACUGUAUAGGAAUAUAACCCCACAACUAUGUCGAACUGUUUUUCCUUAUACUUCAUUUGACACAACACUGAAAAGGCUAAUUUGGUAUUAGGUGCAUGUUAAAUAUGGACUUGCAGCAGAUUCCUUGAGAUCAUUGAUUCUGAACGGUGAAGCAUGUAGGUAAUGUAAUGAGCAAUGUUGAGAAGCACGAUGCAUAUAAUUGUUUCAUCUGAGCGUUUUGAAGAAAGUUUGUGGUUCAGAUUUUGUGAAAUUUUUGGAGAAGAAUUAAAUAAUAAUUCUCUUCUUGUCAUCAUGCCGUUGCAUUUCAUAUUGUUCUUCUUGAAUUACUGGCUCGACGUGUUUCCUCUUUGAAUCCCCAAAUGUAACCUUUGUUUUGUUUUUUGUUAUCUCUUCAAUGUUUUUUGUUUACUCUCUUUCUUUGAAAAAAUGAGCUUAAUGCAUCAAUCAUUUUAGCUCACUUUUAGUCAUAAGGCACCAUAAUUACUGUAGUAACAAUUUUCACAUGUUUACUCUGCCAUGCAGCUAUGAUUUCGCAUUUGUUGACGCUGACAAGAAGAUGUACCAGGAAUACUUUGAACUGUUACUACAACUUGUAAGACCGAAAUAAUUUCUUUUAAGAUUCAAACUUGUCGAAUUUCUCUCCUUUUCUCCUUUAUCAUUUGGUUUCUUUGAGCAAUGAGCAGUUUGCAUGUUGGCUUGGUCUCUUGUUUCAGGUGAGAGUUGGGGGUCUAAUUGUGUUCGAUAAUGUCCUCUGGCACGGAAAAGUUGCUGACCCUGAGGUGAAUCAAUAAACAGGUUUUAUUAACUCCUUCCCCUAAAAUGAACUAUGCUGAAUGUUUUCUUUUCCCUGCAGGUAAACGAUGCCAAGACUGUCAGCAUCAGAAAUUUCAAUACAAGUAUAAUGGAGGACAAGCGUGUAAGCAUUAGUAUGGUAAGUUCUAUCACUUGCAUCUUCAUUCGUAAGAAAGUUCAGAGAUCUUUUGUUUGUUGUUCGAUAACCCUAAAUCCUUCGGAGUGUCAGGUACCCAUUGGAGAUGGCAUGACAAUCUGCCGAAAAAGGUGACCUUGUAACAGAAAGUUGAUGCAGUUCUAGACUUAAGCGACCAAUGCCAUACAUAAAUUAGUGUGUGCAGAAGUUUAGCAACAAGGAAAACGCAUGUUCAGUGUUUUCAAGAAAAGUAAAUCGAGGGAAGACGGCUACCAUGGCAUGUGGUAUGGUGGUUGAAACUGAGGAUGGAAGUUCUUACUUCAACAGGUUAGGCCUUUAGCUCAAGGCCAAACAUUCCGAAAGCAGGAAAUUUCGGUGUUUGGGAGCGGCAGAAGAGAAGGGAUUUCUAGCCAUUGGAUGCAUUACAACAUGCCAUUGUAUCUUGUUUGGUAAGGUGUUCAUGAAUCGUAUUGGAUAAUGUAUGCACAUAACGAGAAGAUAAAGUCAUGUAUUGUAUACCAGUUUAAGAAAAGCCGGGAUUGUUUCUAGAUUUGGAUUGGAUAGGAUAUCUGAUAAAAUUCAAGAUAUGUUGAUGGGGGGAUUGUUUCUAGAAUUGGAUUGGAUAGGAUAUCUGAUAAAAUUCAAGGUAUUUUGAAGGCGGAAUUGUUUCUAGAAUUGGAUUGCAUUGGGUAUCUAAUAAAAUUUAAGGUAUGUUGAAGGCAAAAAUAUUUGAUAAAAUUCAAGGUAUGUUGUAGGGGGGAUUGUUUCUAGAAUUGGAUUGGAUAGGAUAUCUGAUAAAAUUCAAGGUAUGUUGAAGCCAAAAUUGUUUCUAGAAUUGGAUUGCAUUGGAUAUCUAAUAAAAUUUAAGGUAUGUUGAAGGCGGAAAUAUCUGAUAAAAUUCUAGAAUUGGAUUGCAUUGGAUAUCUAAUAAAAUUUAAGGUAUGUUGAAGGCGGAAAUAUCUGAUAAAAUUCAAGGUAUGUUGAAGGGGGGAUUGUUUCUAAAAUUGGAUUGGAUAGGAUAUCUGAUAAAAUUCAAGGUAUGUUGAAGGCAGAAUUGUUUCUAGAAUUGGAUUGCAUUGGAUAUCUAAUAAAAUUUAAGGUAUGUUGAAGGCAAAAAUAUCUGAUAAAAUUCAAGGUAUGUUGAAGGGGGGAUUGUUUCUAGAAUUGGAUUGGAUAGGAUAUCUGAUAAAAUUCAAGGUAUGUUGAAGGCGGAAUUGUUUCUAGAAUUGGAUUGCAUUGGAUAUCUAAUAAAAUUUAAGAUAUGUUGAAGGCGGAAAUAUCUGAUAAAAUUCAAGGUAUGUUGAAGGGGGUAUUGUUUCUAGAAUUGGAUUGGAUAAUAUAUCUGAUAAAAUUCAAGGUAUGUUGAAGGCGGAAUUGUUUCUAGAAUUGGAUUGCAUUGGAUAUCUAAUAAAAUUUAAGGUAUGUUGAAGGCAAAAAUAUCUGAUAAAAUUCAAGGUAUGUUGAAGGGGGGAUUGUUUCUAGAAUUGGAUUGGAUAGGAUAUCUGAUAAAAUUCAAGGUAUGUUGAAGGCGGAAUUGUUUCUAGAAUUGGAUUGCAUUGGAUAUCUAAUAAAAUUUAAGGUAUGUUGAAGGCGGAAUUGUGUCUCAAAUUAAAUUGAAUUGGGAUAUUUGAUAAAAUUCAAGGUGUGUUCAAGGGAUUUGAGUUUGAUUCCUUUAUAAUCCUACCGUAUUUUGUGGGGUUUGAGAAAUAAGUUUUAUUAGCUAGUAGUUCACUUUUGAGCUUGCCAAAAUUUCUUCAUGUCUUCCUUCCACAUACAUACAUUAAAUAUAGCAAGUUAUCCAAUUUAAUCUUCAAUACCAAAUAAGCCUUUAAUUUGUGUUCUAUGUAUUAGAUUACAAUUGUAAUGUAAAAGUCACUACCACAAACAAAUACAGAGAUGUGUGCCGAUUAGGCACGUUGCUUUAAUAACCAAGAAAUUUAAUUUGCAUACACAAACGACAAGUGUAAAUGACACACCCCGACCUGGAAAGGUUGAAGCAUGCUAGCCAUCACCGUGAGGUGACGUAACCAUAAGGGUAAGCGAUGCAAAAAGUGAAUAAAAUUAAAACUAAUUAGAACUAAACAGUGAAAGAGUGCGCAAUUCGUGGGUUGGACCCACUACAAUUAUUCAAAGUGUAAUAGACAGUGAGACUACAGAAGAGUAGUCAAAACAACCAAAGUACACUUAUUACAUAAUAGUGAUAAGUUCGUACGUCUAAAACAUAAUGAAAUGUCAGAACUGCUGGGAUUCCUCGAGUGCCACAAAGAGUACAGCUAUCUAAGUCCUGGAGGGGCGAAAAAACAAAGUUGAGUGGGUCAGCAAAACAAUGCUUAUAAGAAAACCUUUAUCUUUGAAAAUACUAAUCCCUUGCCGUAAAACAUGUAUAGUUUCCUUAAACAUACUACUCAAGUAUAUAAACGAUAAUUCGAUAAUGUUAUAGCAGUAAUAUAACCAGGAAUAUGCCAAGUAAUGAUGUAUCAAAUGUUACAGCAAUAAUCAUGUGAUAAUCAAGUAUAACUAAGUGAUCAUCCAUCUAAGCUGACACACAAGUUUGAACAGAUAGUUUCUGACACAAACAGAACUGGGUGUAAUCAAUAUGCUCUAGUACUACGAUCACGUGAAGACUGGUGCAGAAGCGCAUCACAUACAAGUCGGAUUGCCUAGUGCAAUCUACCCGACAAGACUGGCACCUAACUUGGAUCCAAGGUGAGUGAAUGGUGCGGAUGUGAACAUACAUAUGAAGGACUAGCCCUGACCCUAGGGCGAGUACUAACACCAGGUGCAGCAGGUUGAGCAUGUACAAUUAUGUAUGAAUGCCAUGACAGUAAUAUUACAACCAUAUAGCAGCAUUUAUCACAAUAUAUAUCACAAUAACAAUACUAAGCAAUAUAAGCGUAAAAGUGAAACAAAUACGCAUUUAUGGAAACUAUAAAUAUAAAUAUAUAUAUAUAUAGUAAGUCGCUGGGUCGUAGCCCCUGAGCCUAGCUUAGCCUCGAAAAUCCUCGAGAUAAGUUUCCCCUAGUAGGAGUCCAAUUGUGGUUGAGGUUGACCAAAAAAAUGGCUUGAAAGUGACCAAAUGGUCACGGUUUUUGAAUGAAAAUGUGCAGGUUCUCAUUUUUCUCGAGUUUUCCAAGCCAUAAAUGGCUUGAAAAUCGAUAUGUUGAACUCGCCAAGUCGACCUUCCGAGUUGGUAAGUCAAAAGUUGUCCACACCAAAUUUCAAGGACAUGGUUGUGAUCGUGGGACUGAGCUGAUCAUAAUGGUGUAGUUGGUUUAGGGGUGGGCAAACGGGUACAGGAACCGCAGGUAGGGGCGGGUAAUCAAGGUUCGGGGCGGGUACGGGCCGGUUCCAAUUUUUUCAUAAGUGAAACGGGGCGGGGCGGGCCGGGGUUUUGAAAUUUUAGGGGCGGGCCGGGUUUAGGGGUAUAGAAAAACAGGGCCCCGGAUGGCCCGUUUCUAACUAUGGUCUCUAAACCCUAAUCCAUUAUCCAUGAUUCACUCCCUCAUCUGUCCCCCUUCUUCCUCGUCAUCCUUCGUCCCCUUUCUUUUUCGUCCAUCCGCCGCCUUCGAGUCCACUGAUUCCCACUCGAGUCCACGACUUGAGACUUCCUUCCUCCCACCCACACUAUUCUCCACCUAGACAACGACGACACGAAGACGAUCUCAUCGCCACAAAGACUCUCCUCUCCUUAGUCCUCCCUUUCGAAUCUGUCGAUUCUCGAUCUUCUCCCUCUCAAUUCUCGAUCUCACUUUUCUGAGUUCCAAAUCAACCAAUAAUUUUGUACUCUGGGUGGGCAUGGGCGAAUCUCAUUGUGUGAAGCCCGUUAGGUCUUCUUCUUACAUUGAAGGAAGUUUGGUUGCUAGAAGGCCGUCCUCUUCUGUCUCUGUGCCUAUCCCUGAAAUUGGCGGUAAUUAUACUCCAACCUUUGAACUGAUAUCAGUAACUUCUAGUUAUUUAUGUUUCCAUUUGUAAAUUGUAUUAGAUUGCAUGUAAAUUUAUGUUCUGAGAAUUCUAUGGCAGGAAUGGUUCUGGUUUUUUUAAACUUUAUGGUGUUUUAAUAUUAAUUUUGAUUUCAAUUUCUCUUAAGAAAUAUAAAAAUCGAAACAACUACAGAAUUUCAUUAUAUUGCUUGGAUUCGAUGCUCUGCGUACUUGUUUUAACUACAGAAUUUCAUUGCUUAGUUCUAUGACAAAAUCAUCCUUAUGAAUAGACAUCUUUAAUAAAAUCUUUAAUAAAACCAUAUGUUAUUCCCAACUUCGGAUGUAGUAUGAAAGGAAUCAUUGGUUAGUAGCAGGAAUUAUGUCUGACUUGUUCAUUAAUUGUAUUAUUUGAUUUACAGGUAAUGGAAGCAGUUUUGUAGACAAUGGGUUAAGUGAGGAAAAUUUUACUUGUCGGGCAGUGAUGGAGGCAGUUGGCUCAUGUCUCACGAACAAGUGUUCAGAAGGAUUACCAGGUAAAGGGUACAUAUACUACGACUCAGAGUAAGCAUGGAGGUGUUGCUUGUGAGGAUGUUGGCCAUGGUGAGAAACGUGGCGGUGCCGGCGCGGGGCUCGGUGGAGAAGCUGUGGUGCGACGACGAAGGCAGCAUUGCGGUGGUUCUGGAGUCCUUUCCGUAGCGGUUUCGCAAAAAAAAAAAAAAAAAAAAAAAAAAACCAAGGACCGGCCCGUUUGAAACGGGCCGGGUUCGGUCCGAUUCCUGUAAUGAAAUAUGAUGUACCCGACUCGGCCCGGCCCGUUUCUUUAACCUCCGGUUCCUUGAAAAUUAGGUCCGGCCCGACUCGGCCCGGCCCGUGCCCAGCCCUAAGUUGGUUGCCACGUUUGUGUGUUUUUGUGAUGGUUGUAGAGAGGAAGAAAGAGAGAGUUCGGUGAGGGAGAUAGAAAUAGUUCCUCUUUCAUUUCUUUUUCCUUUUUCUAAUUUGUGACUGAAAGGAGGGAGAGAUGGGAUAGGUGAGGGAGUGAAAUAAUGGAGGGGUGCACGGGUAGGAUAAAAAGGGGAUCCAAUGGAUAGGUUUUUAGAUUUCCUACAGUAAAAGGAAAUCGAAAUCUAUCCGAAGUAGAUAUUUUUACACUUUAAAAUCUACGCCUACUCGUACUAGCGUGUACAAUUUAAAUGCGAUAGCGAGAACUAAAAUGGAAAGCAAUAGGAUAAGUCCACGCCAUUUGCCAAUAAGGGCAUAAUCGUCAAAUUACAUAUUCGGGGAUAAAUUACAAAUGAAAAUUAGGAACUGGUCGUCACAGUAAACUCCUGAACAACUACUACAUGCACGAAACUACAAAAACAUAUGAUAAGUCGUUGACUUAGGAUUGUUAUUGGGACACAUGUUAAAAAUCAGUUAAAAUAACGGAUUCUAGUGACACAUGAUAAGUCACUAAGAGCAACUCCACCCAAGGAGCCUUUCCCCCUGGCAAUUCACUAUUGAAUCCACCAUUUUGAACAGUAACUGCCUUUAAUGAAUAGUAACUGCCAUUAAUGAACAGUAAUUGUCAUUUGCAUCUCCACCCUUGGAGCCCUCCCCCCUGGCAAUAGGCAAUAAAAUAUUAGUUUUUUUUGUUUGUUUAAAUAAUACAAAAUAAAAUUAUUUGUAAUUUCGGAUAAGAUUUUUUAAAUCGUUCUCGUUGCACCACGUGUCAUUUUAUAAAAAAAAAAUUAUUUAGCGAUGGAUUUCGAUAAGAUUUUUAUCCAAUGUCAUCGUGCCACGUGUCGUUAUCUUUUGAGAAUCUUUGACGAUAGAUUUUGAGAAUCUUUGACGAUAGAUUUUGAUCAAAUAAUAAUAAUGAAAUUAUUAGGUAACAAAUAAAUAAUACAAACAAAUAAUAAUAAUGAAAUUAUUAGGUCACAAAUAAAUAAUACAAACAAAUAAUAAUAAUGAAAUUAGGUCACAAAUAAAUAUUGCAAACAAAUAAUAAUAAUGAAAUUAGGUAACAAAUAAAUGAAACAAACAAAUAAUUAUAAUCAAAUUAGGUAACAAAAUAAUAAUACAAACAAAUAAUUAUAAUAUAUUCUUACCUCAUCCGCAUAAUUUGCCCCACUUACUAGCUUGUGUCAAGGCAUCUCUCCACGUACUAAAGGAAUGGCUAAGUAUUUUCCAACGAUUGGAUAUCGAUUCUUUGGUUCUUUUCCCACUCAUUUGCUCAACAAAUUUGGUAUGAAUUAAACUCCACAUUUCUCGCAAUUGCAUCUCAUUACCCGUAACGGAAUUAUGAGUAACUUCAACCCAGCUAGUGCACAACGCAACAUCUUCAAGAAGCGACCAAUUCGAACCUGCAUCAGUAGCCAUUUUGUGGAAAAAAUUGGAUUGAAACUUUGAGAGAAAGAUAGGAAUUUGAUUGAAAGUAGUUGAGAAAAUAUGAAAUUGUGGUGUAAGGUAGAUGGAGAAGAAGUGGUAUUUAUAGAAAAGUAAAAACAAAUUUUUACAAUUUUUUUUUCAGAUUUUUUACAACUUUUUCGGAUUUUUUACAAUUUUUUUUUAAAUUUUUAUUCAAAUAAUUAAUCUCUGCCGUUGGAUUUAAAAAUUUUGAAUUCCAACAGUCCAGAUUGUGCCACGUGUCACAACGGUAACUUUUCUUAAUUUUAAAACUAUUUUUCCUUUUUUUAAAAAUUUAUAAAGGAGAUUAAUAUCAACCGUUGAUCUCAGAUCGAACGGUUGAUAUAAAAUCAGUUUUUUUUUUUUUACCGUUGUAAAUCGGACGGUUCUUAUUAAAGAACCGUUGGGAUCUAACGGACCGUGGGAAGCCACGUGGCUUCCCAACGGUAACUGGCGCGCGGGCCAUCCCCCUAAAAUCCUGUCGGACGACGCGCCCCCACUAGCGAGUGAGGGGCACGCGCCUGACACAAAAAAAAAAAAAAAAAAAGGCCGGACCCAGCCCUUGCGUCAGCCUAACGUCACAAGGCUCGGGGGCCAGGCUUGUCAAUUUUCCACGGGCCUCCCACUCGGGCUCCCACCCUCACUCGGGCCCUUCCCCGCUGGAGCUGUUCCCACCGGCCCUCAGGCCCUUUCUCCUCCCCUGUCGCCCGAGCAACCAGCCUCCGCUGGACUUGCUCUAACACAAACAAAUACAGAGAUGCUUGUCAAUCAGGUAUAUUGCUCUAGUGACCAAGAAAUUGAAUUUGCAUACACACAACGACAAGUGUAAACCCCUAAACAAUUAUUAUAUGCACAAAACUACAAAUGCAUGAUAUGUUGCUAACUUAAUAUCGUUAUCAGACCAUCGGUUCAGAAUUCAUUUAAAUAACAAAUAUAACACCACAUAGAUUAAUCAAGUAUAUGAGUAUGAGAUGAAAAUUGCGUCGACCCAACAAACACGAUCAGUUGACGAGUGUACUACGAAUUCGAUUCGACCCAGUAUAGUACAAAAUAACAAACGUACACAUCCAUUGCAGAAAGCAAAUAAGAAUAUCCUGUUUGAUACUUACCCCCAUUUUAUGGAGAGGCUGCUCCCAAGUCUCGAACCCGAGACCUACCGCUCAUGGGCGAAGGCACUUGCCAUCGCACUAAGUGCGACCUCUACAUGUACAGCAAAAACUAAUUGAGAAAAAUACGGAGGUGACACAUGUAUUAUUGGGUGAAAAAGACAAAAUUACUCUCGAGGCACACUCGAACUCCUACGCGCAAGCAACAUACAAUCAAGUUUAAAAGUGAUCAAAAUAGAUAUUUAUUCAAAACCUAUUUCAUUCAUCCUCAUCCUCCCCACAAGGUAACAUUCAAUUAUUCAUUCAAAAUAUAAUUAAUUACCUAAAUUAGUUGAUUAAUUUCCUAAUUAAUUAAUUAAUUUUUUAAUUAAUUGCAAGAUAUUAUUUUGACAUAAUACCUUGCAAUUACUCCAAAAAAACCACCAUAAGUGGCCGGGCAUUUUCUCCAAAUAAGGGUCGGCCACACCCCUAUAAAUAGCUUCCAUUUCUCCCAAAAACCUUUGAGUCCAUUCUCAGUUGCGGAAAUUUGCAUCCACACUCUGAAACAUUCAUUCGGAUUGCAAAUAUUUCCACCUCACUAAACUCUCUCAGUUGUAGUGAAUCACCUUUCAGAUCUCCAAUUCGCCAAAGCACUUUUGCAAAACGUAAUUACAAGACGGUUUUUAUGCUAUUCGCAAACGCUCUUUUUACCGCGAAGUAGGAGUACAUUAUUGCAUACCUCCGUCUGCAAUCUCUUGGGUCGUCAAUGGCGGAUCGGCUGCGUAGUUUAUUUAAGGGCGAGGUCCUCACUUACGCCUAUCUUCUUCUCUACAUCGCUCUCUCCAGCGGCCAGAUCUUCUUCAACAAGGUUGGUACGCACAUUGCUUUUCAUCUGUUAGCAUAGCAUUUGUCCAACAUUUGGUCUUUUCGUUUGUUUGGUAGGCGGGAAAUUUUUGGGGUGAAUUUUCUGGGAUGUGAAAAUUGGAGAAAACCCAAUUCGAGUUUGACCAGUUACAAGCGUAUGGUGUAGUUUGAGAUUGGUUUUUGGUGUUAUGGAAACCCAUUUAGUGUGAUUAGUAGUAGUAUUGUGAGUUUUGGAUGAAAGAUAAAUUGCAUGUUUUGUGUUUCUAUUGAUUUGGAAAUUAAAUUAGGUUUUACUUUUUGUUGAGAGUGUAUGGAUUUGGUACUGAUGGAUGAUUUUGUUGGCUGUGCCUUUCUAUUGAAAGAUAUGAAGGGAGACGAAAAGAAGCAGCUUUUCGAAGAAGCAUUCUAAUAAACUAGCUCGUACUUCCUAAUUGCUUUUCCAGAAGCAGUUGUUGUGGGCUUUUGUUCUCUAAUGUAUUGCUGUGCAUUAACAAAUGGAGAUAGAGAGACACAAAAAGUUGAGGAGGUGCUUUAAAAUUUGCAAUUGGCAAGAAUUUACACAAAAAGUUCACAUCUUGUUUUAUGACCGUGCUUAAUGUUUUGAAAGUAUGGAUAUGGCGAAGACAUGCAUCUUAGGACCUUAAACUUAGCAUGAAAUGUAUUGAGAUCUAGAGAGAGAUACAUACAUAGUUUACGAAUACCCUGUGUUCAGGUAUUUGAUAUGGUAUUAGUUUCUCAAGAAAAUCAAUGGUUUUUACUUGCUUUCCCUCAUCCUCUUUGAAUCUGAUUGAGGGCUGUAGAUGAUUGUUAAAUUAAAGCAAGGGAAGUCAAGUACAGCUUUGGAGGUCUUGUUCUGGUAAUGUCGAUAAGAUAGUUUUUUUUUUUAGGGAGGGGGCGGCUGGGUGGCUAUACCUAACUCUACAGGAAUUUGUUAGCAAGUACUUUGUAUUGGAACAAAAGAAUGAUAAAUUUUUUUGAUAAAGGUCUACAGUGAAGAAAUAUAGCAUCCUCUACAUGUUGCGUUAAUGCUCACCAUGUCAGCAUUUGUUUAAUUUGAUAACUCCUUGUUACUUAAUGUUGAUUUUUGGGUCUCUACUUUGAAAAUAUUACUCUCAUUCUUAAUCUUUAAAUUGUGGAAUGCAGUGGGUUUUGUCGUCCAAGGAAAUAAACUUCCCUUAUCCUCUUGGAUUGACUCUACUUCACAUGGUCUUCUCCUCUGUCUUGUGCUUUUUACUCACGAAAGUUUUUAAGGUAUGCAGGUAACUAAAUGUUGUGAUAAUCAUUAAAACUGAAUUUUCCAUUGGUUCUCUUAAACUUAUUUUUUUAUUCUAUGAUUUUACAGAUUUUGAAGGUUGAGGAAGGAAUGACUGUAGAAAUGUAAGUAAGGAGCCUCAAAGAUGAUAUCUGUCGAAUUUUACUCAUUUUUGUGGAAUUAAAGAUGAAUUUAUGAAUCUCUUUUGUGGCAACCAAAUAAUUAGGGAUUUAUGUUCGGAUCAUAGCUUGAUGGUGCCAAUGAGCUAUUUUCAUUGUUCAGAAGUAUAAAGAUAGUGCUAGUGACUCAAGCUCAAUGAUAUUUGUUUUGGCUCUUAAUUAAACUGACUCCAGCUAUCUUAUGAAGAUUAAAUAUACUAGGAAAGUAAAACACACUAAGCCGUUGGUGUUUUAAAACCAACAAGUUGAAUUGCAAUAUUGGCUAGCUAGUUGCUACGCAUAUGCAAUUCCCUCCACGCUUGAAGCAUGUGGAGUUGUUGAUCCUAUUGCUGACUUAAAUUACUUUGAACUUUUUUCCUAAAAAAUGAAAGAAAAGUACUUGAACAAUUUUCUUGCUGGUACUUAACACUAAGAUCAUUUAUCCUCCGACUAAAGUAACUGUGCAAUCGUUUAUGUCAGCUCAUGUUUGUCUACUUUUUUACUGAUUUCCCACUCAGAAUCUAAUGAAGUUUUAGUUAUACAGAUACGUGACAUCAGUAAUACCAAUAGGUGCAAUGUUUGCAAUGACUCUUUGGCUGGGAAAUACUGCCUACAUGUAUAUUUCUGUUGCAUUUGCACAGAUGUUGAAAGCAAUCAGUAAGUUUUCACUACUUUUUUGUUUUUUGAUCCACUGUAAAGCCUCUGGGCAUACGGAGCAAUGUCUUCUGUGUUAUUUGAUGGUUGGCCCUUUGGCUGUACGUUUGUUCAGCAGUCAGAAAGUAGGUUGGUCAACAGGUCUGGCGAUUGUAUAACCAUCCAUCAUGAUUAGGAAUUCUCUAUCCAAGUCUCUGAUUUCUUAAACAUAUGCAUGCAGCCAGUAGCUGUUUUCAUUCUUGGAGUAGCAGCAGGACUUGAGGUAAUGAGCGGCAGAAUGCUGUUGAUCAUGUCAGUGAUAAGUUUUGGUGUUCUUGUGGCUUCUUACGGUGAAAUAAAUAUCAGCUGGAUUGGAGUAGUUUAUCAGAUGGGAGGAGUUGUUGGAGAAGCUUUAAGACUUAUUUUUAUGGAGAUUUUUGUUAAAAGGAAGGGUCUCAAAUUAAACCCAAUAUCUCUCAUGUACUAUGUUAGCCCGUGCAGGUACACAUUUCUACUUUUAAAAUUCCUCAAGCUUUGCCGUUCUGCUUAUAUAAUUUUGUACACCUGUGUGAUUUGAGUAUUGAAUUUGUAUGCAGUGCUGUUUGCCUAUUCAUUCCAUGGAUCUUUUUGGAGAAAUCAAAGAUGGAAGAAAAUAGCUCAUGGAACUUUCCCCUGCUUGUGCUAACACUCAACUCUCUGUGUACUUUUGCCCUCAACUUAUCAGUUUUCCUGGUGAUCACUCAUACAAGUGCCUUGACCAUUCGCGUUGCGGGAGUUGUCAAGGAUUGGGUGGUUGUCUUAUUGUCUGCCAUUAUUUUUGCUGAUACAAAGCUCACUCCUAUAAAUCUGGUCGGUUAUGCCAUUGGUAAGUAUCUGACCUUGUCUCUUUCAAAGACUUGUUUAUUUUCCAAAAUAAUUAUUUGUCACAGUGAUGGUUUUUGAGUUCUACAUAUUUCUGAUUUUAAUAUAUACCACCAGGUUAUAUGUAGAUUGUGAUGUUAUAAUAACCCAGAGGUCUCUGAGUUGAUACUAGAUUCCGAUUAGUAGUAUACAAUUUUGAGUUUAAAGUGGCUUAGUUUUUGGGUGUUCAUUGAUAUCUGAUUGGGGGUGUUUUAGACAACAACACAGUGUUGUAUCUUUUCCUCUUUUGAAGGGUAACGCGGAAAUACCAUGAUAUAUUUUAAGAGUAAUGUCGAGAUGUUUAAAUGCAUAGUUUUGACUGACAAACAACAUAACGAAUUAAAUAUUAUCUACAAACCAAUACACAUGAUAAUGAUACAUUAGUUUUUAUGCAGCCAUAGCAGGUGUAGCGGCAUAUAAUAAUCACAAGUUAAAAAAGGAAGUCUCUAAAAGCAACUCUGACGAACCUGAAAGUUCUCAACCUAUACUAAUGGCUGCACCAUCAAAUUCCGACAAGUAGCGAUGUCACAGGAGCAUUCAGACUAGUUAUUUUUGAGGUAUGUUCAUUUAGCAAAAUGUUUCUUCCCGAAUCCAUUACUUAUCUUCUUGGGUUUUCAAACUGCCCCAGAAAUUGAUGAAUUGUGUGGUACUGUAGUGGCCGUUGCAAUUUACAUAGCUGGAUGGAACUCUAUAAAUAAUUUGAGAUUACGGUUUGUUGAAGCUUCGGUGGUUAAGGGCUUCCCUGUUUGUUAUCAUUGUUGCAGUUGCUCCUGUGGCGGUGUAAAUUUUGUGGCGGUUUGAAGCAGAACUGCCAUUCAAAGUAUAAAGAUGAGAAAUUCACACAAUUGUAACAUCAUCACAGAGGUAGGCAUUUCAAAAGUUGGUAUACUUCUGCUAAUCAUAGAUGAUUUGUAUGCAAAGCAAGUGCCAUUGUCACUGUCAUAGAAACUCUCUGUUUAUAAAUUUCCUGAUAAAUCUUUACAGCUCACAUUUGUAUCACAGCAUGGGCAUAUACGAUGCUUACUCUCUGUACAAAGAUUUAUACUUUGAACCUCGACUUUUUCCAUGGUAAAUUAUGUUCAGAGAAGUUUGUACCCCCUCCCCUGCUGCCGCUUAAACGGAGAAAUUCUUCGAUGGAAGAAUCUCCUGUAAAUGGCAGCAACCAAAUUGUUGCACAUGUAGAACGAAUUUGUUUGGGCGGAGAAAAAAAAUUUGAUAGAUAUCCAGAUUAAACUCGUCCGCUGAUAUUUUAACGCACCAAAUUGUUAUGGGCUUUGGUUUUUUUUCCCUCUCAAGACAAGUCGUGCACAAUUGUGAAACGGCGCAUGAUCAAAUUCUAUACUGUUGGGCUUCUGAGACGUAACACACGCACCAAAAAUACGGCGUUAGAAUGCUGGCACGUGAUAUAAUAAUUUCUCGUUUUCAACUUGCAAAUAUCGUCUCUAAAUUGUGUAUAUUCACGAAACUACGUUGUUGGAGGAUUGGUCUUUAAUUAGGAGAUACUUGAUAUAUGCAAAUUAGACCAGUUGGCUAAGGCAACGUGUUAGCACCCUUGCAUCUGAUGCGAUUCCUCUUCUUUAAAUGCAAGAUUGGAUAUCUUAUUGUAAAAAUCUGAAUGGUUUAGAAUCGCUCGAUAAAGUUGAAAAAAGAAAUAUUAUAUUUGAUGGGCCUUAGUUCGAAUUAGAAACUUAAUUAAACAACCCAACAAGGCCCAUAGCCCGCCUUUUGCGACAUCCGACUGUAGAGAUCCUGAAGAGGGAAGACCAAAUAAUAAAGAGGGAAAAUCAGGGGAUUUUUGGGGUUUGGAAGGUAAAGGGCUUUUCCUGCUUCGUCUCCUCCUUCUUCUUCUUCACAUCUCUCCCUCUCUCGCAUGUCUCUGCCCGUACCCGCCUUCUUCCCUCUCUCCCACUCUUUCCUUAUUUAAUCCUUUAAAAUUUUCAAAAAACAAUUUAAUAUUAUAAUUUUUUUUUAAUUCGAAUUUUUCCGUGGGAAGAAAUAGGCGGUAUUGGUGGGGGGAAGAGAUAUGCGAUUGGGGUGGUGGUGGUGCAGCAUCAUCAUCGGAAGGGCGGCGUCGUGUGAUGGUCGUCGUCGACGUUGACGUUGAUGGGCCUGCAAUUCCAAUUGCAGAUGAGUUGGCAGCCGAGUCUACUGAGUCAGAAGCGGAAGAAUGGCCUGCCGCCUCUAGGGUUACGCAACCUCGGCAACUCUUGCUACCUCAACAGCGUCCUCCAGUGCCUCACCUACACCCCUCCUCUCGCCAAUUUCUGCCUCCGCAAACUCCACACCUCUCUCUGUAAGUACAACUCUCUCUCUCUCUUCCUCUGUGAUUUUGUUUGAAUUCGAAUUCGAAUUCAACCGAAACGGCAUUGAAUUCAAUCUGCAGGUGACUCUUCGGAUGCGGAGCGGAAGCGCGACUGUCCCUUUUGCAUUCUGGAGAAGCAGAUAGUGCGGUCCCUGAGUCAGGAUCUCAGUCCGGAUGCGCCACAGAAGAUACAGAGCUGUCUCGGGAUUUUUGCCGAACACUUUCGGUGCGGACGACAGGAGGACGCUCAUGAGUUCCUGCGCUACGUCAUUGAUGCUUGCCACAACACCUGCCUUCGGCUCAUGAAGCUGCGACGCAAUGCCACAGCCAACGGAAACGCUGCCAAUGGCAAUGGCAAAAUGGCCAACGGCAUAGGCAAUGGGGAGGCGGCAACUUCAACGGUGGUGAAGGAGAUAUUUGGUGGAGCAUUGCAGAGCCAGGUGAAGUGUCUAUCUUGUGGCACAGAAUCCAAUAAGGUUGAUGAGAUAAUGGAUAUUAGUCUUGAUGUUUUGCAUUGUAAUUCGCUUAAAGACGCAUUGCAAAGGUUCUUUCAGCCUGAGAUUUUGGAUGGCCAGAACAAGUACAAAUGCGAAAGGUAUCAUCUCUCUCUCUCUCUCUCUCUCUCUCUCUCUCUCUCACUGCUUUUUCAUGUUUUGGGUGCUUGUCCUUUUGUUUUGGGUUUUGAUUGAGGUAUUUAUGCUGUCUUUAGUUGUAAGAAAUUGGUGGCAGCACGGAAGCAAAUGUCUUUUCUUCAAGCACCAAAUGUUCUUGUUAUUCAACUUAAGGUUAGUUUAUUAGUUACGUUCUGAUAUAUUUUUGCUAUUAGGUGCUUAAGUUGCUCCAUCCUGCCAUUUUUACUUUCGUUCAUUUAGUUUUCUUGACAAUGCUUUAUCGUUAUCUGUUGAUAGAGAUUUGAGGGUGUACUUGGCGGGAAGAUUGAUAAAUCUAUUUCAUUUGAGGAGUUUUUGGUGCUUUCAGGGUUCAUGUGCAAAACAAGCAAGGUGCGGUCUAGACUUUAACUUGUCAGUUUAAUGAAGUCAUUGCAUUGGAUAGUGUAUGGUUGCUUAAUUGGAAAGCGAGCUUAGUUGGAUUAGAUACUGCAUUAACAAUGAACUUAUUGAGCAUAGCAACAAUUACCUAUUUUUUAGGACAUAGAGUCCAAAACUUUGCAGCCUCCAUGUUCAGUUGAACCCUUGACCAAAUAACUAUCGAGCUUUUUAGAUCUUUGCAAAUCAUAUUAUAUAUAGUAUACCUAAUAUAAUAUGGAUGUGUGGUGUGCAGUAUUGAUAGUAGUCAACCUGUACUAAACCUACAAAAAAUACAUAUCUAGUUCUCUUCAGAGUGUCCCCAGCUAAUAUUGUUUUUUGCCAAAUGAGUUUGUCUCCACUUAAUUGAAUUCACAUAGGUUUAUAGGAUUGGUACAGUAAUUUGUUCCAACUAGUAGUUGCUUGUGCUUUCUUAAUUAUUUUUUCUGGGUUGAAUAGGUUCUUGUGCUUUAUAAGUUUUGUUUGAAUACAGUUGGCACUAGAAGCUUGUUGAAAUCUACGUGAUUCAGUUUGGAAUGUUAUGAUUCGGUGUCAUAUCAGCACCUUUCUUACUUAGAGGAAAACAAAGAGGUUAGUUCAGCAGCCCUAAAGUUCUCAAAGAACCUAAGAACCAAAAGCGAAUGCCAUUGCAAUCAAUAUUCAAGAGUUUCUUGUUAAGAGAAAGCUUAUUUUCGGCAACGCCCCCUGAAACUCCAACUUGUACUCACUUAACCCCCUCAAACUUGAUAUGUCUCAUUUAACCACCCCCCCCCGGGGAAACUCAAUUUUUCUCUCUUCCCCUCCCCACGUGUGCAUUCCCCUUUCCCCUGAUAAUGACGAAUUAAAGGUUGAACAGAUCGUUUAUUUUAGAACCAAUCAAGCUUAAUUCGAUGUGGAAUCAAACACCCAUUGGUGCAGUCAUUGUCCUUGACUACCUUGAUAGAGUUUACAGGAGAUAGGGGAGGGACGCAGGGGUUGUCGGGAGAGUCUGGAAGGGGAGGUCGACGUUGUUGGGUGAGGAGUGAGCUGUGGCCAUGGGAGAGAAAGAGAGGCUAACUGUAAUUUUUUCCAUUUAACUUAAUUAUUUUCAUUUAGUUAAUUUGUAACAUUUGUUUUUAAUAAUUAUUUUGCCAUGUAGGGUCCACAUGGCAUAAUUGUAGCAUAGUAAGUCUGAUUCAUGUCACAUCAGCUAUUUUGACUGAUUUAUUAACAAAUUUUGACGGUAGGGGUUAAAGUGAGACAAAAAUUGAGUUUCAGAGGGUCAAGUGAGGCAAAUUAAGUUCCCGGGGGUAACAUGAGAAUAAGUUUAAGUUCCAGAGGCUAACUAUAAUUUUUCUGUUUAACUUAAUUAUUUUCAUUUAAUUAAUUUGUAAAAUUUGUUUUUAAUUAAUUUUUUGUGCCAUGUAGGGUCAACAUGGCAUAAUUGUAGCAUAGUAGGUCUGAUUUAUGUCACAUCAGCUAUUUUGACGGAUUUAUUAACAAAUUUUGACUGUAGGGGUUAAAGUGAGACAAAAAUUGAGUUUCAGAGGGUUAAGUGAGGCAAAUUAAGUUCCAGGGGGUAAUCUAAGAAUAAGUUUGAGUUUCAGGGGGUGUUGCCAUAAAUAAGCCUUAAGAAAAUACUCGAGACGGUGAUAAACUUCUGAUAUUCUUAAGAAGAGUUAAGCCAACCGGCGGGUAAUCAAGAUGUUUGUUUUUGUUUUUUUUUAAAUUACAUUUCUGAGCCAACCAGUACAAAAUGAGUGUAAAUUAAAAAAGAACACAAAUAAUUGGUUAAAAUAUUUGCUAUAAUAGCAUGUUCAAUGUUUUCUUAUUGUAUUGUUUAAGUGAUCACAACACAGUCUGGAUGGUACUCCAGUUUAUUAAGUAUGUUUCUUUUUCAAUCUGUGCAUAGAGCGUCAGUGUGGGAGUUUACGUGGUUGGAGAAGGAAACUCCAAUUGUUAUCUUGGUUGAUUAAGGGCUGGUUUGGUAUUACUGUGCUUUGAAAAAAAAACUGCUUUUGCUGUGCUGUGAGAAUAAGCUCAUUUUUGCUGCUUCACGUUUUCAGUUUUUUUUCACCCAAAACUGUGAAAAUAAGCUGUUUUUAAGUGUUUACCAAACAUCUUUUUGAGCUCAGCUUUUUUUGAUACCCACUUUUUAUAAAAGCACCUAAGUACCAAACCAGUACUAAAUGUAGGGCUACGCUUAAACAAAGAAAAAUCUAGAGCUAGAAAUGGGAAAUGGGAACUGGAUAGGACUGUAGAAGGGGUUUAGAAAUUUAGACCAGAGAUAUCCAUCUAUUAUCCACAUGGUAGGACUAAGGCCUUGUUGAGAGGAGGUCUAUAUCCAACUCAUCACCUGUUCUAUUGAGAUGUUAUAUAUUCAGCACUAUGAACGACUUAUCUAGCAACCUCUUGCAGUCUAAAGAGGAAAUAGACAUCAUUAACAAUGCACAAAGGUGUGAUUUCUCGGUGAACCUCUUGUUUAUAGUCCCAUUUUUCAUGAUCGAUCUAUGACUUGGGUUUUAUCAUCUUUUCCAGCUAGUCAAAAGACUUUUCUGCCUUCACGGGGAAGUAUAAAGGAAAACAAAAAUCCAUUUGACUGCAACUUAUAUAUGAAAAUUACAAUGCAGGCUUUAUUUCUAGUGACAAUUAGGAGAUCCUCGAGAAGUUGUGUUAAGUUCGACUUAUUCUGUUUUGUGUGCUUUAUUGUAGUUUAACAUGGCUGUAACAGUUAUGUCACUGAAUAGUAAGUUUUGUUUGUUGCAUUCUUGUUUGAAUAGGUCAUUCUGAUUUACAUUCUGUUUGGGAAGCUAUAAUGUAGAUGCGUCAUGGUCUCUGUAUUUUUUUUUUCUGGCAUAUCAAUUAAAUACAUGUUGGAUUGUUGGUGAUUCCUUUGCAAAUGUUAUUUCUGAUUCUUUGUUGCAUAUCUCCUUUCUUGUAUUUCAAAAUGAGGCAGUCCAGGUCUUGGUUAUCUAAAAGAAUGGUUUUGAUGUCAAGAUUCUAUUCUAUCCUUAUAAAUAUUUCUUGAUGCUAGUGCAUGCGUUUUAUCUGACUCCCGUAUCAUGAGACUGUUGUUUGUUUCUAAUUAUUCCUUAUAUAUGGGUGAUGUUGCAGACAGUUGCGUUUCCUAUUAGUAAUGAUAUUGACUUUUUAAUUGCUAUGCAGGAUACGCGGCCAGAGUAUAAGCUUUUUGGUACUAUUGUGCAUUCAGGCUUCUCACCAGAGUCUGGUCACUAUUAUGCAUAUAUUAAGGUAUCUGUUCACCUAUCACCUUCUUUGCAAUCAGUAAAUUUGAAGCACACCAUAUCAACUAUAUACUUAUCUUGUUUUAUUUUGCUUUUCAUAAUCUAUGUACAGGAUGUCAUAGGUCGGUGGUAUUGCUGCAAUGAUUCAUCUGUCUCACUUUCAACCUUGCAAAAGGUCUUAUCUGAAAAGGUUUACAUCCUUUUCUUCUCUCGUACCAAUCAAAGGCCAGCAUUGGCUAGCACUGCUUCCAAUGGGGUGAGUUCUCAUGAUUGUAAUGGUCGUGAAACAUCUAAAACCCUGAAGUCCGCUCUUCCACCGAAAGGAGUUCAAACAAAACCUUAUGAUGUCUCAGCCGUAUCUAAAGUUGAUAAAGUGCCUUCCAGCCCACGGAUGAAGUUCAAUUUGAGCGGAAAUUCCAUCUCCAAGAGAGCACUCACAACUGAUAAUGGAAUAACCGUUUACAAGAAUCAAUCCUUAGGGUCAAACGGGGAAAGAUCUACUUCAACUGCUAAUGGAAAAAGUGUUUACAAGAAUCAGUCCUUAGGAUCAAACGAGGAAAGAGUUCCUGCAACUGAUAAUGGAAAAAUUGCUUACAAAAAUGAAUCGUGUGGGUCAAAUGGGGAAAGAACUCCUGCAAAUGAUAAUGGAAAAAUUGCUGACAAUAAUCAAUUAUUAGGAACAAAUGGGGAAAGAGCACGUGCAACUGAUACUGGUAAAAUUCCUUACAAGAAUCAAUCCACAGGAUUAAAUGGGGAUGCAAAGGACUCAGUUAGUUUGGAGAAAAGUGAGAAGUCAUUGUUGAUAAACAGGGAUUGUUUGAACAGGGGUAAAAGUCCUGCUAUAGUUGACGGUAACAGUAGCCAGGCAUCUUUAUUAUCACAAGUAAAUGAUGUAAAAGCUGAAGCCUGUGAAGGUGUUGAUACAAAAGACAGGUUGGCAGCUAGGAAAGUGCCUAACAGUAGCCAAGCAUCUUUGUUAUCACGAGGAAAUGUUGGUACUGGUUCAGUAAAAAUUGAAUCCUGUGAAGGUAUUGGUACAAAAGAUAGGUUGCCAGCUGGGAAAGUGCCUGAUACGAGUGAAUCGGAAAAAAGUGGUCUUCAUGGCCGCUCUAAAGUGUCUGGGUCUAAAAGAAAAUUUCUGGAUUCAUGCAUUCUGUUUGCACCUGAUGCUCAAUCACAGGCAGAAGUUGAAGGACUAAAGGAAAUGUAUGUGACACUCUACCACAUUCUUUGAAAUAAAAUGUCGGUCUAUAGAAACUUAUCUUGAUUAGGAUCAGGUCUUAAAAUGUGGCUUAAGAUGUGCUUGUUAUGGAUUGCAUAAUCUUUUGGAGUAUUUAUCUUACAGUAUCUUUCUUUUCAUACAUCUGUCUACCAUAUCCCCUUCGGUUCUCCCAUUGCCUUGCCAAAAGAAAGACCAUUCCCCAAGUGAUAAAUUUUAUGUUUGUUGUUCUAUGAGUUCAUAGCCGAAUACUCUGUCAGGUCCUUAAGUUAACCUGCACUAUA
rnacentral:lncRNA from 1 species